rnacentral:lncRNA from 1 species
UUUUUUUUUUUUUGUUUAUCAUUACUUUUUACUUGUUUUAAAAAAUUAAGUUAAAAUUUGAAAACUUCAAACUUUAAUGCAUGCUAUAACUAUAUGAGAUCUUGUCUAUAUCAGGCAGGGUUCAAACUACUAAUUGAUGAUCUAUUGUCAAAAUCAGGUAGGGUUAAAAUUAUAAUAGUUGCAAUUUGUAAUUAAUAAUACAAGAAGAAAUGUUAAGGAGAGAUUGAUGAAUUUUGUUAUAUUGUCUAAAUAGUUUAAAUAAUUUGAUAUUUUUGAAAAUACUACUUAAUAUUUCUCUUUUUUAAAAUUCUGUUGUUUCAGUAAUAAUAAAUUUAUUUCUCUUUUUUAAAAUUCUGUUGUUUCAGUAAUAAUAAAUUUUUGCAGCUUACCAUAUAUUAUAAAUAUUUUGAAAGUUUUUUUUUAAAAAAAUAGAAAAGUUAACAAAUUAUUUACUCUAUAACAAAAACAAAACGAUAAAAUCCAUUAUAUUAAAUUUUUGUAUGAAAUGUAACAUUGUAUUUUUUUACAAAUUUUAUAUUUUCAACAUUUAAAAUAAAUUUGGGUGCUUAAAUAUUAGUAUUCGGAAAGAGUUUAGAUCUGAAUUGUAGAUAUUAUAUAAAAAAAAAGUAGGUUUGGUAGGGGUAUGGGUGAUGAGAUAGAAAGAGUUAAUUAAGUAUUAAUUUAUGUUACACAAAAGUCAAGAAGUUCAUCAAAUCAUCAAAGCGUAUUAUUGGGCGGCACAAGGAUUCAUUAAGCUUGUUUAUUGUUUGUUUAAUACAAAUCACGGAAAGUUCAUAUUUAUUUCUUUGUCUCUUUUCUAAACAAAUGGUUUUCUCUUUCCCCACGUCUCGGCCGUCGUCUUUUCAGAAUUUUAAUGUAACUUUUUUUUUCAAUUAUUUUAAAAUAAAUGCUUUUUUCUAUUAUUCAAUAUUUAAUUUCACUUUUUUCUCUUGCGUUAACUAGCAGACAAAUAUUUAAGAUUGAAGUAUUUUUAAAAUAAAUAAAAAAAAGGUAGCUUUCUUUACGUAGUUUUGAAAAGUUAAUUGGUCUAAUUAUUAGAGUUUUACUGCAAAAUAUUCUAUACCCAACAAACAAAAAAAGUUUAAACACUUUCCCUUAAACUUUUGAAUUUGAGUUCGAUCUUACUAUACUAUACGUACUUUUUAUAAAAGUGAGUAUUGUUUUAUUCACAUAAUCUAUGUGUUGUCCACAUGGAGACUAGAGGGAAAAAAGUUGUAGUGGUUAGUUUGGAUAUUGAAUUCGUUAUACAUAAUAUAUGCCAAAUAUAAUGCUUGAAUAUUAACAUAAUGGAAGAGUUUAUCUUAGUGGAUCGUUAUUGUGUUUUUGAAGUUGGAUGGAUGUUUAGACUUUCACUGCAUUUAUGUUUUCAUGUUGUUUCACACUUUAUUAUUAUUAAUUCUAGAAUGUCUGUACCUUCUCAUUGUAAUUACACUAAAAUUAAAUAACUUGCCAAACCUUGAACAUAGACUUGUUUGUUUGUAUUUUGAUGAGAUAUUAGAAUUUGAAUUUUGAUGCAUUUGCAAUAUAACUGUAUGUGUCAUUUCAUGAAACAGUUGGGGAUGGGAAGUGCAGUAGAAACUCUAUGCGGGCAAGCCUAUGGCGCAGAGAGAUUCGAAAUGCUAGGCAUUUAUUUACAAAGAUCAACAAUAUUACUAACCAUAACAGGCAUUUUCUUAACAAUCCCCUACAUCUUCUGCAAACCCAUCCUCCUCUUUCUAGGUGAAUCCAAAGACAUUGCUUCCGCAGCCGAAAUCUUUGUCUAUGGCUUAAUCCCUCAAAUCUUUGCCUACUCCUUAAACUUCCCAAUCCAGAAGUUUCUUCAAGCUCAGAGCAUUGUGUUUCCUAGCGCUUACAUAUCGGCAGGGACGUUGGUGAUUCACAUGCUGCUCAGUUGGUUGACUGCCUAUAAAAUGGGGAUGGGGUUGUUGGGAGUGUCGUUGGUAUUGAGCUUGUCGUGGUGGAUAAUAGUGGUGGGUCAAUUUUUGUAUAUUAUUAAGAGUGACAGGUGUAAGAAGACAUGGCGAGGGUUCAAUGUGCAGGCGUUUUCGGGGUUGUAUGGAUUCUUCAAGUUAUCCGCGGCGUCGGCGGUGAUGCUGUGUUUGGAGACUUGGUAUUUUCAGAUUUUGGUAUUGCUUGCUGGUUUGCUUGAGAAUCCUGAGCUUGCUCUUGACUCCCUUUCCAUUUGGUAUGUUUUUUUUUUUCAUCUUCCCUUUUCCUCUCUAAAAUUUGAAAUUUUACUUAAUAAUUAUGAAAACUUGAAUAUUCAACUACAUAAUUAUAUUGCAUUCAUUAUAGAGUUAUAUCUUAUCUUUAAAUUUGAAUUAUUGACUACUAAUAAAUAUGAACAAUUUUUUCAUUCUAAUGUGACCCACUAUCAAAAACUUCCUAUGAAUUAUUCCAAAGUGGCAGCUUAAUUAAUUAAUUGUUACUUCUCUUAUUAUUAUUUUUAUUUAUCCACAAUUAUCAACUUCAUUUAGUUACUAUUUACUUUGAGAAAAUAAAACUUCUUUUAAUUAUUGUCAUAAAUGUGGGAGUUCAAAGUUUGACAAAUUUUAGUUAUGUGACACAGCAUGAACAUAUUUGGAUGCGUUUACAUGAUUGCAGUGGGUUUUAAUGCUGCAGCCAGGUAACUUUUCUCUAUUCUCUAAUUUCAAUACAUAUUCGUUUUUUAUCAAUUAAAUUUAAGAUUUGUUCCAUAUACAAACACUAAAUUUUAGAAAUUUAAAACUAUAGGAAACUAGUAAUGGAGCAUACAAUCUUCAUCUUUUUAGGGUACAAUAAAAGUUUAUGUUAUUUACAUAUUCUAUAUUUUAAUAAUUAUAUUUAUUGUACAGUUUUCGGUUUCUCAUAUCAAUUUUUUUGAUUUUUUUUUUUUAUAUGUAGAGAAUCUACCUUUAUGAAAUUGAAAUUUAAAAGUUUUUAGAAGAUAACUAUGGAAGUGAUGAUCCUAAGUUAAUAGUUAAGGACAAAAGUCGUAGUUUAAGAUUUUGGAGGUAAUAUUAUAGAAUGCUAAUUAUUUAGUUUGUACGAAUGACAGUGUGAGAGUGAGCAAUGAACUGGGGAGUGCGAAUCCAAAAUCUGCAGCAUUCUCUGUGGCGGUGGUGGUUGCCAUUUCAACUAUCAUCUCCAUAAUCUGUGCUUUACUUGUAAUUAUAUUCCGCGACAACAUUAGCUAUAUUUUUACUGAUGGUGAGGCUGUAGCUGCUGCUGUUUCUGAUCUUUGUCCACUUCUUGCAAUCACCCUUAUUCUCAACGGAAUCCAACCCGUCUUAACCGGUAAUUAAACUAAAUCUCAAACCAUUUAUUUGAACACUCCUUAAAUUAUCAUCGCUUUUGUGCUUAUGGUUUGAUCUUUAAAGGGGUCGCGGUUGGGUGCGGGUGGCAAGCUUUCGUCGCGUAUGUAAAUAUUGGUUGCUAUUACAUAGUUGGAGUGCCCCUUGGCUCCCUCCUCGGCUUCUAUUUCAAUUUUGGUGCAAAGGUAAUCAUUUUCAAAUCUUAGCUUAGUUGAUAUUUAUCUCUUUAAUUUCUAACAUUACUCAUGCUUUGGUAUACGAAUUACACAUUGCUGAAUGAACAUUUGUCUCUUUUUAUUUUGAAAUUGAAUGACAGUUUAGUUUUGUGUAAACUAUGUGCACAGGGAAUUUGGGUUGGAUUGAUGGGUGGAACCUUCAUGCAGACUCUAAUUUUGGUGUGGGUGACAUGGCGAACAGAUUGGAAUAAAGAGGUAAUUUUAUUUUAAAUUCAACUCGUUCUUUGUUUCUUUCUUUGAGACCCUUUUCUAAUAGCUUUAAAUUGACAUAUGUUGAGAAAUAACAAAAUAAAAUUGAAAUGAAUUAAACAGGUGGAAGAAGCAAUAAAAAGAUUGAGCAAAUGGGAUGACACAGCAAAGCCAAUUGUUGAGUAGUGACAAUGACUAACUUUUCAAAUCACAGAAACAAAACAAAAAAAAAAAAAAAAAAAAAGAGAUUGAGGAAUUGCUACAUAUGAUGGCAUGUGAAAUUUUGUUAUGUAGCUUAAUGUCUCUACUUUGCCUCAUUGGAAAAAAGAAAGGAGAAAAAAGAGGUGCCUUAUCAAAACAAUUUGCCAUUUCUUUUUCUUUUUUUUCUUUUCAAUUUAAAUGGUCAUUUAGAGUUUUAAUCUUUGUAAUUUAGAGGUUUGUUUUAUUGAAUCAAUCGAUUUGAUUUGAUUUGGUUGUUUGUUGACCUAAAUUCUUUUGAAUUGAAUUGAAUAUCUCUUACUGAUUCCAAUGAAGUUGAAGUUGGCUUCUUAAAUUAAUUUUUAUCAAAAUUGAUUAAACAUCAAAUAAAAUUAACACAAAAAAGGUAAAUAUUUGGUCACUAUUUACGAAGGAAAUGUUAAAUUGUCAUUUUUGAAAAAUAAAAAUAAAUCAACAAUAAACUAACUCAAACGAUGAAUAGUUUAUAAAGCACUAAAUUAAUAAUUUAAACGUAUACUUUUACAUAGGUGACCUUUUGAAACAAGAAACAAUGACAAGAAUAACUGAAAAAUAUACAAUAAUUAUGAACUUAGCAAUGGUUUGAAUUUAUAAAUGUAGCAAAAAAAAAAAAAAAGAUUUUCUUUGUUAUCAUUCCAAUUUGAAUUCUUUGGUAAAUAUACAUAUAUUUGGUGUAUGGAUUAACUAAUAACUUGGUAUUUAUGAACUUAAUUUGAAUCCUUCAUUUGGUUCAAAGUAUUAUUAUUUCUAUAGCAUCUCAUACACUCACAAUGAUUUCAAUCCGACAUUGUUGGUAGCCAUUUCAAAUGUUCGUCGACGAACUAUUGAUACUCUAUGUACGAAAAUAUGUUUAGAUGUCAAAGUAAAUGUAACUCACAUGCCAUCAAUAUCCAUAUCAAAACAAGAGAUAAAGAUUAAGAAGAUGGGAGGGGAAAGAAAUUUCACAGUUUUUUUCUUUUUCAACCUAGAAAAAAAACAAAGUCAUUUUUGUAAAAGAUUUUACGGUGUGAAUUCUAGCAAAUUUUCACAUUCAAUGGAAGUCAAACAGUAAUGUGACAAUAAUCCUUUCUGAUAAUAGAAAAAAAAAAUACAAAUAUUUCAAAAAGAGAAUAAAAAACCAACAAUGAAUUUUACAAAGCCAUUACUUCUUCUUCCCUGCUUUUCCUUCUUUUCUUCUUACGAUUUCAUCAGCAUAUUUCACUCCUUUACCCUUGUAAGGUUCUGGGGGUCUCCACUGUCUAAUAGAGGCAGCAAACUGACCAAUGGCACAUUUAUCAUAUCCACUUACUGUAAUUCUUGUGUUUUCUUCCACUUUUAUCUGAAUCCCAUCAGGUAUCGCCAUUCUAACUGGAUGAGAGAACCCAAGAUUUAGUACCAAGUCUUUUCCUUCUACCAUUGCUCGAUAACCGACACCGAUCAAUUGAAGUUUCUUUUCGAACCCCUUCGAUACUCCUACCACCAUGUUGUCUGUAAGCGUCCUGAGGAAAUCAAUUCAAAUGGUCAUAUAUGACACCAUGCCUACACAUUUACUCUUUCUCCAUCAGCCAUAAUUCAUUUGAAUUUCAUAAGGAACAAAGGGCUGGUUGUUUGCAUUCAUAACAUGAAGUCAUCUUUGGAUUUUCAGAAUUUGAAAAGACAUAAAAGCAAGUGACCCGUGUAAACUAUCUCCAAAUAACUCAAAAGCUUAAGCUGAUAGGUGAAGGUAAACUUUAUAUUAUACCGUCCAAGUAAAACUUAAAGAGGAAGAAAAGUGAAAUCCAUGAUGAGAAUACCUGAAAAGUCCAUGCAUUUGAUUGGCUCUUCUUGUCUCCAGUGCUUUCUUAACUCUUAUGAUCCCAGAAUCUUCCCUCUCAAUUUUAACCUCUCGUGGAUAAAGAAUUGAAAGUUCUCCUAAAGGACCCUUAACUUUCAAAUCCUGACCCUGCAAUGUGAUGGUUACACUGGAUGGCACUUGAAUUGGUUGCUUCCCUAUUCGUGAUUCCUUGCAUUCUAUAGUCUUCCUCAACAGACCAAUAUGACAUGCAGGCAUUGCAGAAACACAGAAUCCAUUUUUUUCUCCCAAAAAUGUAGACCGAAAGUUGCUGAGAUACAAUGAGGAAAAUGGUUUCAGUAGACAACAACACAAACAAUGAACGUGUGUAAAUAUAUAUAUAUAACCAUCCCCUAAAUACAAAAAAGAAAAUGAUGUUGAAACAAAAGGAGUAUAGAUAAAGAAAAUUGAUCUUUUUUUCCUUCGUAUCAAACAUACAACACAAGUCUUAAAUCAUUUGUGGCUCAACUGGAUAAAUAUUGAACAUCCCAGUCCUAGGAAAAAAUGAAACCUACUAUGAUGCUUUUUCGAGAACAACAAACGUGCAUAUGAGGAUUUGAACUUCUAGAGGUAGUGUUAUGCUCAUGUUGGCAACUGACUAAUGUGUUUAUGAAAUAGUUUCUUAUUCUUUUUUUCUAGUAAUAAGACUUUUCUUCAAGGAGCUCAAACCAUUGUUAUCCAUCAUCUAAGGCCUGGCUUUAUACACUCCAUAAGCUUACUUGCUUGAGAACAUUAAUUCAAGGGCAUCCCUUACAAGCUCUACUCAGUAAAUCAAUCGAGUGAGAAAAAUUUUCCAAUAGACUCACUCCAUGUUCAAGAAAUGUCCACAAUUCUAAUUUCUUGAUAACUCUCUAAAUGCAAAGAGCCAGUCACAUAAAAGAAAGGAUAUUGUGUAGAUGGCCAUUGUUAGUGAUGGCUAAAGGUUCAAACACACAAAAAUCAACCCAAAGGCCAGUGUAACAGAAGCUCUACACAUAUUCAAACAGAAGAGGACUGAAACCUCCUAACUGGAAAGGGCAGACAGAGGAAUAUUUUUUUACCAACAACUACAAUGUUAAGACAACAUAAAAACAAAACUAGAUUUAAGGACCCUGGUAUGAUACUUAAUCUAAAUUCUAUCUACCAUAUCUACACCUUCAUGGCAUCAUGACCAGCGGAAAAAAAAUUCACUCUUUUAAACAAUUCUCUAGAUUGAUGCCUUUUGUUUUCUGAACUUGACUUGGUUUUUGUAAACAUGAAUUGAAAGUACAUAACAAACGCAGAAACGUAAUAGUAGAAGCAGUAUUUAUAAAAACCAAAUGGUUAUCAAACAAGACAUUAGUAAUUAAAAAAACAACUUACUCAAUAUUGAUUUACAGUUUGUGUAAGCUCUAGGUGUUAUGGUUGUGUAAAUCCUGGAUGGAUAUGCGUUUGGUUAUAAUGUUUUUAUCAUGUUUAUUUUCUAAAGGAGUGAAUUAUUUCAGGGUUGCACUUAAUGUAUGUUUAUGGGUUAUCUAGGUUUAGUGUUGCACGUAAAGUAUUAUAUAUAUAAGAUUAGAAUGUUUAUCAGGUUCAAGAGUUCAGCGGAGUCGGCAAGUAUCGUUGGAGGAGAACGAUGUCAGUCGGCAUCAUGCCGUCAUCCGAGCUAAGCUAGUAGGUAGUUCAGGAGGGGGUAUGACAAUUUUCUUUCACCUUAUCCUUAAGGCCCACCCCAAUUAUACUUGGAUGUAUGUUCUCAAAGGGAGAAGCCACAAAACUAAUCAAUAUGGAGAUGUCAUUCUUCCCCUAUUUCACAUUGUCGAAGUAAGAUAAAUUUAAUCUAAAAGCGAACUCAACAUUCAAUCUGAACUACGUGCAAUAGAAUCAUUGAAAUUUCAAGGUUUGUUGUCAACGUCUUGGUGGAAUGGCUACAUACUUGAAAAAAUUCAACAAAGAAAUUAUAGAUAUAACUAAUUCAUCAUUAGACCAAAAUGGAAGACACACAACCCCAACAACCCCAAAAUCAACCGAUGCGUUUCAAGAAGCUCUCUGAAUGUGAAAAAAGGAACAAUUAAGAAAAUUCCCGGUACACGUAAAUCAUAUAUAUACCCUGAACCCUGAAAAUGAGUCUCCCAAAGAUUUUCCUGAGGUCUAGACAGACAUCCUCAAAUUAAGUCAGCUAAAUAGCCAGAAAUGUAGGCACGAAUUAUCACGAAUUCAUAUAUUUAGAAAAGAAAAAAACACAAGAACUUACUUAGGUGAGUGUAUCGAAGUUGGAGGUUGAAGAGAAGGAGGAGAAGAGAGUGCCAUUAUGAGUGUGAGAACAGAACACCCAAGUGUGAAAGAGCGAGAGAGACCCCCUUUGGGUCCGAUUACGAAGAAGAUGACACAGUGACUUGCAGGCAGGCAAGAGGUGACGAGAAGGAUAAGGUGGAGAAGACAGAAUUCUGAAUUGGGCCGUUUGGGCCAUGUAUGAUUUGUGGUCCGUGAGCUCUUCAAUGAGGCCCAUAUUCAGAAGUCUUUUUUAUUAGUUCAAAUCCCAAAUGUCAUCAACCUCUUUCUAUCCUGCAAGAAGGGUUUGUACGUUAGAGUCCUUCUCUCAACUCUUACUUAAUAUGUCGUGUGGUCUAUGAUCACUUGAAGAGAUUCUUCAUUACGUGAUCCUGCUUUUGAGUCUAGUUUUCAUCUUCUUUGGUAUUGUAAGUGUAGAAGUAAACACAUUUAGUUUCUCUAAGACGACAUGAUGCUUAGCUAUGCAGAGACAUUUUCUAUAAUCUGAAACUUUUGGUUGGAAAAUCUAAAAACAAGGUUGAGUUUCAGUGUUGGUUGAUUCCAUUAGUGGUAUUCAUCAUACCAUACUUCUGUUUGUAGUUUUCUGUUACUUAAUCACAAGAAUAACUACGUUACACCCAUGACUUCCUUAUCAAUGCUUUGUCUUGCUUUAUCUUGUUUUCUUUGAUUGUACUAAAAGAUUUUCAUUAUGUUAUUUCAAUACUCUUUCAAAUAAAAAGGGGUCAAAAGGAGAUUUUGUCUUUUGCAAUCACCCAUUCAUUUACACCUUUUUACCACAUGCUUGAAAUGAUUCCAUAACGUGCAUUUUAUACUUUGUUAGUGUGACAAUAAAUUAGGGUUUGAUCCAAAACUUCCUGUUGGGGGCAACUUCACAUAAAGUUUAAUACAUAAAAGUUUGUCAAUAUGAUAUAUAUCUAAUCACAGAAUUCCUUUUACUUUCUUCAGAAUAAGACCGAUCAGUUCUAAACUUUUUUUUUUUCUUUUAGAACAAAUGUCAUGUGAUGGUGUAGAAGUAAAUAUACUAUGAAACAACAUGCUUUUGCUGAUUAUUUUCACUCUUAUAAAUGAGAUCCAUAUGUCUAAUAUCAUGUAGGGUUGCUUUUUGUCCUUGUCUUUUUACCUUUAGAAAAAGUAGAAGAUAGAUAAAUCACAACCUAAUCUCUAACUUUUAAAUUUUGUACAUAUUCGAUUUUUAAACUAAGAGAAGUUUAACAUGUCAAUGUGAUUAAAUGCUAUUAUAUAUUACCGUGUUAGCGGUUCUAGAAUUACCUUAAAACUAUAUUCCAAUUGUUAUUCAAUUUUUGUAUCUAACACUUUAAAUAUUCAAUUUUAAUGUAUAAAAUUCAAAUAAAUCUUAUGUUUAGUCUCUAUUACAAGUUUAUUAUUAAUUUUUAUAAAAACUUGGGUUCUCUUUCAACCUUAUUUUUCACUAUAAAUUUGAAAAAUAUAUUCACAAAUUGCAUCUCAUUGCAUAAAUAUUAUUAUUAAAUAUUCUAAUUGGUUUUGAUAAAAUUAACUUUGAAGAAUAAAGGUUACCAUCUAUUUGUUACUAUCAUUGGAUAACAAUUUCAAUACUCUUUUAAAAAAAUCAAGUCCAUUUCUUUUUAUAUUUUUACUAAAGUCUUGUGCUAUGAGCGCAUAAGCAGGUAAAGCGUGCAUGUGUUGAGCUAUCAAGGAAAUAAUAACCUCUAAAGAGGCUAAAGCAAGACCUAAUUGAAAAUGAAGCGAAUUAUUGAUUGUGUCAUAAAGACUUUAUUGUUUACGCCACAAUGCCUUCUCAAUGGAAUAUAUGCUUCUAAAAUAUAUGAUACGUAUGACUUAGAUGUCUCAUAUUUCUAAAAAAAAAAGCGAUUUGAUUGAUGGGAUUUGGUGAGUCUUGAUCGUUACACAUGACGAUGCUAUGGAAUCAAGCCUGUUGUUAAAGAAGAAAAUCAACAUAUUGCUUGUGUAGCUUAUCUCCUAGAGACCUUUUUGAAGAAGGUUAUGUUACUAACAUGUUUACUUCGAUUGUGGAUAAACUUAUUGAUAUUGGAUUCCUUCCGCCAUCCUACCCUUUGAAUUAUUAGGAUUGAAAAGGAUUUGCAUCUUUUUAAAUACAAGAAUUAAAUCGAUAGAAAAAAAAAACUAAAAUUGAAAAUUUGAAAACCAAAACCAGUUGGUUUUAGUUUUAGUUUUAGUUUACAAAAUUUGAGUUGAAAUUGGAAAGAGAGUAUAAAAAGAAAGGCAAGAAAUGAAAGUAAAGGGGGAAUUGUGAGUUAGAUUAGUGGAAUGUGAGGGAUUGAGUUGAUUUGACAAACAAAGUUCCGACGUCGAUAAUAAUAUUUGUGAAGAAUCACGUGCAACUUUUCAUCUUUGUUUCACCAUUCAUUUUUCCCUGUAUCCCUUUUUCUUUUUCCAUGUCGUGCAACUUGCGUUAUACUCUGCGUCCUUUGACAUGGCUACCCUUUCUUUAUUCAUUCAAUGCUCUUAAUUGCUUCUUCAAUUCCACCCUCACUUCUUAUCAUCCCCAUCUCAAUCUACCAAGUGCUCAACCAGUUCCCCAUCGUUUUGUAUCUCUUUUUCAUUCAUUUCAUUCUCAAACCAACCCUUCUACAGUUAUUAAAAGGGACUCUUGUGAAUUUAAAACAGGUCUUUUUAAUGGUUCAUUUUGUUCCUCUGUCUCUGCUCUUUGUGUUUCAUGCUUUCAUAUGGCUCUUUCACCUCACUCCUCCGAUCUACUGCCAAAUUCCUUCUAUUCUUAACAUCGCUGCCGUUUUUACUUUUGAUUCCGUCAUCGGAAGAGCUGCUAAGCCGGCCAUGGAAGCUGCAAUCUACGAUAUAAACGCCGACCCCAAUAUCUUGAAUGCCACAAAGCUUAAAUUUUUCAUGGAAAACUCUAAUUGCAGUGGCUUCUUGGGCUCCGUUCAAGGUAUAUCCCUUUCUUUCUUUCUUCUUCUUCUUUUCCUUCAUCUAGUCAAACUCCCUUCAAUAAUUAUAUCUACUGUUCAGAUGCUACCUAGCUCUGAAAUCUAAAAUAGUUAUUUUUAUUUAUUUAUUUGUUUGUUUUUGAGUUUGAGUUGCUCUAGUCCAACUCAACCAUCAUGUUCGUUCAAUUUAUGAUCGAUGAUUUAACAAAUAGUUUUUUUAUAUUUUCUUUGAGUUUCUGUAAUCAGUACUCUUGAGAGUUGAGUCAAGGAUAAAAGGUGGUCAACCUUCCAUUUAGAAGCUUUUUCAUUCAACUGUCCCUCCUUUCAUUUUUUAAUUUUUAUAAGACUAUGUAUACAAAAAGUUCAAAAAACGUAAAAUUUUGCUUCUCUCUGUCCUGCUCUUGUUUAGUCAAAGUUUAGAAGUUAUUGUUUGAGCCUCCUUGUUCUUUGCUGAAAAUGUGGUCAAAGUUUUCAUCCUUAUUUCAUGAUUGUCUCUCCAUGGGUGGUAGCUUUGCAGGUACUUGAGAAAGAGAUUGUAGCCAUGAUUGGCCCACAAUCCUCAGUAGUGGCUCAUGUGAUUUCUCAGAUUGUUAAUGGUCUACAAAUUCCUCUAGUAUCUUAUGCUGCCACUGAUCCAACAUUAUCCACUUUACAACUCCCUUUUUUUCUCAGAACCACUAUAAGCGACUCUUACCAAAUGGCUGCCAUGGCUGACUUGAUUGAUUACUAUGGCUGGAAAGAAGUCAUUGUUAUAUUUUUGGAUGAUGAUUAUGGUAGAAAUGGGAUAUCUUUUCUGGGUGAUGAACUUCAGAAGAAAAUGUGCCGUAUUUCCCAUGCAUUCCCUUUACCUUCUCUGGAUAAUCUUUCUAAGAUCACACAAAUACUCAACAAUUCUAAAUUACUUGGUCCUCGAGUUUAUGUAGUUCAUGUAGGCCCUGAUCCCCAAUUAAGAAUCUUCACUAUUGCCCAUAAACUCGGUAUGCUUUCAAGCAAUUAUGUUUGGUUCGCAACUGAUUGGCUUUCCACAACUCUUGAUUCUUCUUCACCAAUAACCAAUGGUGCUUCACUUGAUAUGCUUAAUGGAGUUGUUGGGUUGCGCCCUCAUACUCCAGAGUCUAAAGGAAAGAGAGAUUUGUGGGAUCGGUUAAGGAAAAUGCAGCCAAAAGGUUUAACUAAUUCUGCGUUGAAUGUUUAUGGACUUUAUGCUUAUGAUUCAGUAUGGGUUGUUGCAAAGGCAGUGGAUAAGUUUCUUAAAGAAAAUGGGAAUAUCAUUACAUUUUCACCCACAGGUAAAGUGUUGGGCUCUAAUGAAAGUGGAAUUCAAUUGGGUAAUGUUAAAGUGUUUGAUAGAGGGAGUGAUUUACUUAAAAUUCUUAUGCAAACUGAUUACAAUGGUUUAAGUGGGAGAAUUCAGUUUGGUGAAGACAGAAGUGUUGUUAAUGGUAGCUAUGAUGUGAUUAAUAUUAACCAAAGGAAAAUGAAUUUGGUGGGUCAUUGGUCUAAUGACUUAAGAUUUCAUCCUAACUUAGAUCAGAAACUUGAGAAAGUGGUUUGGCCUGGUGGGAAGGAGGAGAUACCAAGGGGAUGGGUGAUAGCAGAUAGUGGAAAACCUUUGAGAAUUGCUUUCCCAAGAAGAGCAAGCUUUGUUGAUUUUGUAACUCAAUUGAACAACACCAAUAUUGUUCGAGGAUAUGUUAUUGAUAUUUUCAAAGAAGCUCUCAAGUUUGUUCCAUAUGAAGUUCCUUACAAGUUUGUGCCUUUUGGAGAUGGUAAAGUUAAUCCCAGUUAUGAUGAACUUGUUCAAUCGGUUGCAAAUAAUGUGAGUAGAACAAUGUUGUUCAUUUCAACUUUAUAUAUAUCUAUUUUCACUUUCAGGAAAACUGGAAAAACCACUCUCAAACUCCUAGAAUUGUUACAGUUUCUAUAAUUAAUUAUGUUUGAGGGUCCAAUUGUAACAUUUGUAGAAGUUUGAGGGUAGUUCUUUUGAAAGUUACAAUAUUUCCCAAAGUUUCAUAACCAUUUAAGACCACCCUUAGAGUAAAAGUCUUGAAUAAUGGCAAACAAAAUUUUGGUGCUGACCAAAUGUUGAAUGAUGUUGUAGGUGUUUGAUGCAGCAGUUGGGGACAUUGCAAUCGUUACGAACCGAACCAAAGUUGUUGAUUUUUCUCAACCAUAUACCACAACAGGGCUGAUCAUAGUUGCACCAGUUGAAGAUUCAAAAUCAAGUGCUUGGGUGUUCCUUAAACCAUUUACAGUAGAGAUGUGGUGUGCAACUGCAGGUUCCUUUGUGGUAAUUGGUAUUGUUAUUUGGAUGUUAGAGCAUAGAAUCAACGACCAUUUUCGAGGUCCUCCGAAAAGACAGAUUAUCACAAUGUGUUUGUAAGCUUUUUAUUAUCAUAAUCUUUUUUUCCUUCCUUCCAAUUAUUUUGCAACAUUUUCACUUUGUUUGUCUCUCUGUGUUGCAGGUUUAGCAUUUCAACUCUUUUCAAGGCAAAUCGUAAGUUCUUUUCUUUUCAGAACUUCUUAAAUUCCCAUAAAAACUCUCUUAAUUGGAUGUUGUAAACUGCAAAUUAUGUUAGGAGGUAGCAUUUAUUAUGUUUGCCGUAAAAAUUUUCAAUAUAUAAGCUUUUAAUCUGAAUAUGUUAUACUCAUUUGUGAUUUUAAAAUGGUUAAAAUAACUAUGAAAUAUAUGUUUCAUCCUUCAAAAUCAAUUCAAUGCUUAAUUUUAUACGUCUAAUCACAUUUUUUCACUGUAUUAUAAAAUUGCUUUUGAAGUAAUAGAAUUCUUUUUCGAGUGAUUUUAAUAAUUUUUAAAAUUUCUUCCAAAUAUGUCAUGAAAUAUUAAUGAAGUUUCCUGUACAAAUUUUUGGUUAUAUUAUAAAUAUGAUAUCUUUGAACUCCAACUUAGGUUAUAUUAUUACUCAUCACCAUUCAUAAUGCUUCAAUACUCCUGUUGAAUUACAAAUUAUUAAGAGUUUUUUACACAUUGGAAUAUGGAAUAUUGGUGACCUAGAACAAAAGCUUAGAUCUCAUUAUCAUUCUAGUCUUUUAAGUCAUUGUCACACCAUUUCAAGUCUCAAUAAAAUACUAAAGGAUUUUAAUUUCAAUAGUAGUUUUAAAAUAUAUGUGAAACACUGGAAUUUAUGUUUAAAGUUUUGAAACAAAUAGCAAAAUUAAGUAGUUGAUUGAAACGAACUAUCGAAAUGACUCUAAAACUUGAGGGUAUUUUCGAAUGUUUGGUUAAAGAAAGUGAGGAAUGGUGCAUAGCUUCACUUUUUCUUUCUUCUUUGUUCAAUGGUAGCAACUGAAAUUCCAUUAAAAUUGAAACUGCUAUCUCUUUUGAUUUGACAUGAACAGAAGAAGCAACAAUAAGUCCACUCUCACGACUAGUGAUGUUGGUUUGGCUGUUCUUAUUAUUGGUAAUAACCUCAAGCUACACAGCAAGUUUGACAUCAAUCCUUACACUCCAACAACUUUGGUCUCCAAUACGAGGAAUUGAUGACUUGGUUGCAAGUAAUUUGCCAAUUGGAUAUCAAGUAGGAUCCUUUGCUUACGACUAUCUCACACAAAGCCUUUUCAUUCCAAGUUCAAGACUGCAGAGGCUGAACUCCUCUGAAGACUACGAGAAAGCACUGCGUCUUGGCCCAAAAGGAGGCGGCGUGGCGGCCAUCAUCGAUGAACUUCCAUACUUGGAGUUGUUUCUGUCAAAGACUAAAGAAUUUGGAAUCAUUGGUCAACCUUUUACUAGGAGCGGAUGGGGAUUUGUGAGUAUAUAUAUAUCUAUCUGACUCCUUAAAAAUAUACUUCUUUGAUCCUUGAGUUUUACGUAAGAUUUGCUUUUGAGUUUUGAGAAUAUACCUUUUCGGAAUUUGUGAGUAUAUAUCCAUCUUUCCAAUAGAAAAAAAAAACUUUUUUGGCCCAUCAGUUUUUUGGUGUACGGUUUCCAUUUGUUUGUAGUUCCCAAAAUCUAGUACUUCUACUUUUAUUUUAUCACUUCUACCCUUGUGUUUUUUAAUCAUGAUAUAAUUAAUAUAUAAGGGUAAAGGUACUCUUCAAACCUAAUGAAAAAAUAGGAAUUAUACUCAAAACUCAAUAGUACAAAUCUAAACUUUUGACACCUAGAGUUAAACUUACGGACUAAAAAUGUAUACACCCGAACUUUUAUAUGCAUAAGGGCAUUGUUUACUUAAUACGAAUAUGAACCCUUAAUUAUAAAUGUUAGGCAGUUAUUAAUAUAUGAAUAUGAACUACUGCUCUUAUGAACAAAAUGUAAAGCUUGUCCCAUAUUGCUUUAAAUGUGAUCUCCCCAUCUGAACUACUUUUCCUUAUCAUGAGUACAGGCUUUUCAACGAGGAUCUCGACUUGCAGUCGAUAUGUCAACUGCAAUUCUGAAGCUCUCGGAGAGCGGAAAGCUGCAAGAAAUACACGACUCAUGGUUCUGCAAGCUAGGUUGUCCAGGUAAUCGGGGAGGAAAGUCAGAGCCAGACCAACUUCACUUGAUCAGUUUCUGGGGUUUGUAUUUGCUUUGUGGAAUCAUUUCCGUCGCUGCACUCUUCCUGUUUCUUUUAAGACUAAUCCGCCAGUAUAUCCGUUACAUACGACAUCAUCGACGACGUCAUUCAGAAGAAGUUACACCAUUCCCAGUUCCAUCCAACACUAGCUGUACUCAGAGGAUUCAAAACUUUAUAAACUUUAUUGAUGAGAAAGAAGAAGCUAUCAAAAGCUUCUUUGGAGCAUCACAUGGUGCUCAAAAUGGGAACCAACUUCACAAUCAUUCCCAAAAAGCCAAGGAGAAGGCUGAUUCAGAGAUACAGAUAGGGCCCACGACCAUGGGUAUGAAUCGAGGAUAGACUUUUGCUUGCCAUUUGGUUCAUAAUAAUUUCUUAGGUGGAUUUCUUGGUGAAGCUGAAGCAUGUACAUAUAUGAAAUCCCAUGAUAUCGAAAAUAGCAUAGAAAACAUCUCAACUAGUAUCAAAAUUGGUCAAAGCAUCUAAGAAUUUUGGUUCCAUAUUUAUAACAAUUUUUGGGACCAUUAUAACCUUUCCCUCCCUUUUUUAAGAACUACACAAUGAGAUGGAAUUUAGAAAAUUAUACGUGUUCUCAUAAUAUCUUGAAUGUAGUCUUCAUCUAUUUUCAAGAAGCAAUUGUAAUUUUAGUCGAAAUUUACAAACAUGUUAGAGAAUAGAUAACAAAAUAAAUAAACUCAAGACUGAAAGUAUUAACUAUAUGAUACUGAAUGAUUACCAAACGUCGUAACUUUUCUGUUUGUAUAAAAGAAAAACCAUGCAGUACUAAUUUUUGUUAAGCGUUUUCACAUCUAUUUUUGGUUUAAAAUCAAAUUUGUAAAUAACGGUGCUUUCUUUUACAAAGUUUAGGAAACAAAAAAAGUUAUAAAACUAGAAAUGGUCUGAGCCAAGAGGGAAAUUGAAGUAAGAGAUAGAGAGAAGAAGUAAGUUGGAGGGAGGUAUCAAAAAUGUAAAAAUGUCGUUCUUUUUUUAUCGCUAUACUUUUUAAAAUCUACUAUUAAUUUCAAAAAGAUUUUCAAGCAGCUUUGUCAUUUAAAAACCAAAAAUUGACUAUUGAGUUAUCGAGGAGCCCAAAAUAUCAGAGCAAAAGAAAAAAAAAAAGAUAAGAUAAAAUAGGCUUCAAAUUUAAAGUUCUAAGAUCAAGGCAGAUGAGUGGCAAUUCCUUCAUCACAUUGAAUAAUUGGAUGCAAGCUAAUAACAAAUUUGCAAACUUGUUAGGUCAGAAAAAGCAAGUUUCUUGUUAAGGUUACUAUUCAUCAUGGAAGCUGCAAAAGAAGACAUUGAACAUGAGGAAAAAAUAUAAUAGUAACCAUUAAAUCAAUUCUGACAUAUUCAAUAUGGUCGAAAAGCUUACAAGCUAUUCCAUCAUAUAAAUUAUUACUGCCGAUCCCAUAGACCAUUUAACUGGGUAACCUAUCAACCAAGUGCUCACUUAGGAUUAACAUGAGACAAAGUAUCAAAACGGAAAUUCUAACAUUUAUGGAUUAAAAGUUGCGUUGUAACAUGGAUUUUGAAUUCUUACUCAAGUUUCACCUCUCUCUUUGGAGGAUCGAAGUCCAAAUAUGUAUAUGGCUCUGUUGGUUCCUCCCUGCAAAAUCAAAGAUCACAUGGUCCAUAACAUAUAAUAUAGCAUUUUGUUAAAUUAUUAUCAAUGUCAAGGGAUUUUUCUCCAACUUCCUUCGUUUAUCAGGCUUAAAAACAAAGGGAUGGUAUCUAAAAUUUGCUAAAACAAUAGUCCUAACGAUGGAAAAAGAAAACUAUCAUCUCUGUUUAAUAAAUAUCCAAGUGUCUUAUCAGUUCAUAACCACUAAGCUUAAACUGUUGUUUCUAUUUUCACUUUUAUUUAAAAAUGCUUUCAGAAACUAUUUUACAAAUGUUAUGAGUUCAAAACGAUUUUUAGAUUGUUAAAGCCGACUGAAAGAAUCGAUACGAAAGAGACAGUCUGAAUCAAGUGUAAUCAGCAGCUGAAAGAUUUGUUUCAGGUAAACGACUAUAAGGAACCAUCAUUCUGUCAAUUUCGUCGGUCAUCUCUCUUGAAAAGUAAAGCUAAAGUCCUCGUACUGAUGAAAUGAAUCUAUCUUGAGAUUAAAUAAAAUAGAACUAUGAUAAAUGUUAAAUACAGCCGUACCCAGGUUUAGAACGCAUGCAUUGCCAGAACAGCUUGAAUGGUCCUGGAACAGUCUUAAAUGGGUUCCCUUCAAAACAAGCCUACAAGAAAACAAGAACUAUAAUCAGAAAUCAUUCAUGAAAUUCUACCACUUUCACACAACUUCCAUCACCCAAAAAAAAGUUAUAUUCUUUCUUGAAGAGGAUACAUUUUAUUGGAAUAAGAUUACUUCAGAAUCUUGUUAACAGGAAGAACCUUGUUUUUUUAAAUCCUCUCCUUGGAUGGAUCUAAUCUAGCCUUGUGAAGAAGAGUGGAAUUUUCUGUCAGUUUAUCUCGCUUCCUUCCUUCGAAGAAGAAGCUAGUGAUGCAGUUUCUUCUCCGGGUUUAAGCCUGUUCACUUUUCAGCUUAAGUCUGUAAAAAUGGGUGAAAGGGACAUUUACAAGCCUGGUUUUGCAGAGUUCUGUUUGACAUUGAGUGAAGGAACUGUCGACGUACAAUCAACUCUAGGAAAAAUUUUCAAUGUAUGGUCACCAGACGCCAGAAGAGCCAGAGGCAUCCAUAUUACCAUUGCCAACCUAACAAAUCAGCUUAACCAGUUGAGUCAAUGACUUCAUCACUUCCAUCAAGUAAAAGAGAGAGGACUAGGAGUUUCGAAUAAAAAGCUUACUUCUAUUUUGAUAAAACCAUCUUUGACAAAUUUCUUAGGCUUCAUGUUCUGACCUAAGUGGAUACACGUUUCUUUCUAAUGCUAAUUUCUGCUCAAUCUAAAGCCUAAAGGAAUGAUCAGCAAGAUGAUCUACACUAUCCUUUAGAAGAGAUGGAUAAGUCUAGCCCAGGGUUAUUGAAGGCUUCUUGGUCAAGAAAAUGAAGUUAUAUCACUCUACUAAACAAUUUCUGAUGCUUUCCUCUUAAAAUAAUGCUAAAAGUGGUGAGUCUUCUAAACGUAAAGUAGUCUUUAGAACUCUCAUCUGAUUUUUCAAUCAAUCUUACAAACAGAAUGAUUGUUAGGAUCAGCUCGUAUCCUAAUGGAGCUUUAGGUUGUGGAUCUUUGGGGAUGCAAACUGGGUGUCUCGCCUCUAAAAUAUUUAGUUCUCUCCUUAAGAGGUAAACCUAUGUGCAUUGAAUUUUUAAAGCCUUUAACUGAAAAGGUGAGGAGUUGUCUGGUGAAAGGGAAGAAGCAAAUACUUUCUAGAGUCAUUAAGUAGACUCUAGUCAUGCCAAAACAUUCCAACUGGUUUAACUCCUAAGUCCUUAGCUCCCCACUAUUAUCAACAAACAGUGUUUGCUUAUGGAAAAAACAAAAGUUACAGACGGGCAAAAAAAAUAAAAGAAAAGAGGAAAUACGAGAAUUAACGAACUUUCUACACACAUUUUCCUCUUGAGAUUUUUUUUUCUUCCAGCGUCUCUAAUAAAUAAUUAAAGAAAAACAUAUUUGGAGCCGAUUCAAAACUAAAAUGAAUGAAAUAAUAAUUUGCUUAACAAUGUGAUAGCCUGUUGUAGCCAGAAUGAAAUAAAUGCUAAUGAAAUUCCGGAGACCUUUGAACUUGAACCCUAAUAGCUUUGUGCGUAUUGGUGUUGGAGGAGAAAUCGCAUAGGUGAGGUUCGGGAGUUCUAUUUUCUCCUUUACAUCCAGAACAUAGCUAAUUGCAGGAAAAUCUAAUAGCAAACGUACGCUUAAGGCUUUACUUUGAAGAGAAAAUAUUCACUACUGCUCAAAUGAUAAAAGAACCUCCAACAGAAAAACUAUUUCCAAUCAGCGCACAACCUCUGAUCCGAUCCCCUUGGCCAUUCAAUCCGUUCAGAAUUUCAACAAAUUAACCUCACUGCUACUUAAAAUACUGCAGUUAUCUUUCCAGUGAUUUUUCUGUUAACUUAAAGAAGAUGCUCAUAAGUUCCGUAAUAACUAUCGGCCACAAUUUCUAAGAUAAUAGUCAGCAAAACUUCAUAUUCAUAUAUCUUGCUUCCAACUUCUCGAAUUCACUUCUCCAAAAUCCACAUGAAAAGCACAUCAUAAUUAAAUUACUUCAGGAAACAGAACAUUGAAGGAAAUGUUUAAUGUCGACUCAAAAGAUAAUUGAAAUAAACCGCAUAAUACCUAUCGGUGACAAACUCCAGAAUCAUAUCGAUCUUAAUUUUUCAAGUCCGUCCAUUAGAAACAAAUUGAAAUCAGAAUAAAGAAGAAGAAGAGUAAAUGGUGGAAAAGGAUGCGAAGGAUGGUGAUAAACUGAGAAAUUUUGAAGAAGUUAAAAGUUUACUUGGAUGACAUCCUCAGCUCUGUCAUUGCAUCUGUGAGCCUUAGGUUGGCGAUCAUCUCCUUCCGGCAUUCCCCAUGGGCUUUCUCUCCUUUUCACAGGCCUUGGCUCGCUCAUCUUCUCUCUCGAAUUCGGCUACAGUAUGAGCAGUCUUCACCGGUAAAAGGGAAAUAUGAGUUUUUGCCUUUUGGGCUUAAGAAACCGACGUCGUUUGAUCUUUUCAAUUUGAUUUUAAGUUAAAAUAUAUUGAAAAUAUAACAUUAGAUUCAAAAAUUCACCGUCUAACCCAAUUUUAAAAUUACUGUCAAAAGUCUAUUCUGAUCGUUCAAAAUAUUGAUCUAUCAUAAAAGUGAUCAGAAAUGUAUAGAUAGAUUUUUGAUCUGUUUAUAAUUUUUUAAAAUGUUGUUUUUACUACAAUUGCAAUAUAUUAUAAUUAUCUUUCAAAUUUCAUCCAUUUGAUUAGUUGAUAUUUUAUUUUAAAUAUUGUCUACAACAAUCAUUUUUCUAAUUAAUCUUCGACUACUUAAUUUGAUGCAGUUCACUUAAUAAAUGAACACUUGGCCGUAAUUUGUCCAUCAUACUCGAUUGGUGGCCUCCCUAACAUCUGUAAACUUGUAUACAUCUACUACCAAGUAGUGUUUAUUGAUCCUUUGUUCUAUCUCAUGAGUUGAUCUCCUUAAGACUAUCAUUCUAAAAGUUAGAUACUUGCUUUAAAAUAAUAUUGACUAUAUAAAUUUUUUCUUUUUUUUACCAUCCUCGUUAAUUUUGUUAUAGAUAGAUAGUUACUUUUGUGUGUUUACUUAGGUGUCUAAUUGAUUGAAGCAAGAACAUCUCAACGAUAAUUGACAUUUACUUAUUCCUAAAGAUUUAAAUCUUUAUAUCCUACUUAAUAUACAAAAAGAUUUUAGAUAUAAUGAAGUUUGCGAAAUAAAAUUAGAGAGUUACAAAUAUAACAAUUAGAUUCAAAAUAUUAGCACUUACAACAAUAUUUUCAAAAAAAAAAAUACAAAUAUAGCAAAAUCUAUUGAUGAUAAAAAUAAACCAAUAUAUAGUCGUUGAUAGGCCAUUAUAGUUUAUGAAAAAUUGAUAGACUUUACUUAGCAAUUUAAAAAAAAAAUGUUGUUAUACCUUUGAUUAUAGUUUGGUAGUGACCAAGAUGUUUAUGAAUUCAAUUCACCUAUCUUUGUUGUACUAAAAAAGAAAGAAAAUGAAGAAUUUAAGUGAUAAUAUAAUAUGAUAUAAGUCGAGAUAGGUGAUCGGCUAAAAACUCAUGAGAUUAAGUUUUGCAUGAUAACUACUUAUUCUUAGUUUUCGAAACUUGAUUUAGAUUUUAGAUACUGGCCUAUAUAGGUUUAGUUUUAAAAAACUAAAAUGUAAAUAAUAGUCUUAAUUAGUAUUAUUAGUAUAUAUUGUCUUCUAACAAUCCAAUCUUUGAUUACUAUGUACAAAAUAACUUUUAAACCUUAGGUUAGUUUUUAAUUAUGUUCCUAAACAUUUUUUUUUAAUCUUUAAACUUUAACAUUUGAUGUAAAAUAUAUUGUUGAAAAUAUUAUUUAUAUUUUACAAUAUGGAACCACGUGGAUCACGUGUUAUUUCUAAUAAUGUGAAGUCGUAAAACACAUAAAAUCAAUAAUAAUAGAAUUUGGAUCUGAGGAGGAUUGGUUUGCAAUUAUUGUUAAAUCUACAUUCAAUACUAUAUAAUAAAACCAAAUUUAUUUACUAUAUAAAAACAGCCCAUGAGUGAUUUUUUCCAUCCCUUUAUUUUUUCUUUUAGUUAUUUUUAAAAAUAACAAAAUAAAUUUAAAUAUUUACAACUUAUAACAAAAAAAUAAUUUGUUCUUUCAAUCAUAGUCAGUCAUAUUCUUCUAUCACGGACUAUCAAUGUUACAUUGAAUAUCAUAUAUUUGUUAUUGAUAGAAUCUGAAAUUUUGCUAUAACUUGUAAAUAUUUUGUCAAAAUUGCUAUUUUUUACAAUUUUCUUUAUAAUUAUUAUUGUAUCCAUCAAAACUACUUAAUAUAAGCCAUCCUUACCUGCAAAAUAGUGUAUUAUUUUAUAAAUUAAGUCAGCUUAAGUGCAUCAUCAACUAAUGAUAACCUUCUUAACUCUAUAAAGUUAUGAUUAUUCAUGUUAAAAUGUGAUAAAAAAACUCUAUGAUAUAUUAAUUAUAAUUUUUAAUUUUUUUUCCUAUAUACCAAAACAACUUAAUUUUGAGUGUUAUGGACUAAACUCAAGGUAAAUAUGAUCAUUAACUAAAUUUCUAUUGUUUUAUUUUGAAAACUAUAAAUAAAUCGAACAAAUUUAUGGUUUUCUUCACCAGCAUGACUCAACCAACAUAUAUAAAAUAUGCAUUAUUCAUUAUAUUCGAGAUUGAAUCUUCUACUUUACAUAUUGUCGAAUCAAAGAAGUAAAAUUUUUUUUAAUGUUACAUUAAUAGACGUUUAUGAGUUUUCAAAUAUUUAAUUUUUGAAACGAAAAUUUAAGAUUCUAUCGAUUCAAUAAGAAGGACGUAGAAUUUGUCAAAAAAAAAGAAAAAAAAAUAAGAAGAAGAAGAGAUAGAUAACAAAUAAUAAUGAAACUAAGAUGAGUGUUUACGUGAAUAUGUAUUGUUUAUACGAUUUGACCCGUGAAAAAUGGAAGGUUGAAUCUCCACUUUGCCAACCUUUUGUAUUUUGUAUUGACAUCCCCAUCAAAAUCAAGAUGGAUGUUAUUGAACGAAAGUUAAUCCUACUAACAACCCAUGAUUUCCAAUAUUUUACUAAAGAAUGCUUGGCGAGUAGCCCAAUUAAAACCCCCCAUCGACUCAUUCAACAAUUAAUCAAUUAAUCACUCUUCUCGCAGAUAUUGUGAGAAGAAAGCUUCGUUGAACAAAAAUGGGCGCUUUUCUCAAGCUCAUCGACGUCUUACUGUUCCUCAUCUUCCUUAUACUCGCAAUCCUUUCUCCUCUAAUUGAUUUCCAGCUUAUUUUCCCUCAUACCCUUUUCCCUGAUUUUCUCAUCGAUCUUAAAACCUCCUACACCCGCCAAUAUGGGGACUAUUUAAUGGCCGAAUCCCCUCCCUUCCUUGUUGGCCUCGUUUGGCUCGAGCUUUUCUUUCAAUGGCCGAUAAUGCUUCUCAAUCUCUACGCCUUCUUGGCUUCCAAACCAUGGUACAACACCACUUGCUUGAUCUAUGGCGUUUCUGUUGUCUCUUCUAUGGUAAUUUCUGUUCCACCUCUUACAAAUUUGGUUCCCCCAUUUGAUCUGUUGUUUCAUUGGAUCAAUUUGUUUUUGCCUGAAUAUUGUGUUUCUGUUAAUUGCAUACCAGCCCUGCUCUUGUGUGUUAAGUUAUGUAGCUGGUACAAAGAAUGGCAUUUCUUUGUAGUAUGCAUUUCUUUGUAGUAUGUAGUUUGGUGGAGUUGGAUUCUGGAUAUAGCCACUUGAUAGAAGUUGUGGAGGUACUUAUGUAGUGAUUUGAAACAGCUUUAUGUCAUAGUUUAUAAAUGAUAUUUCGAGUCCCUCAGGUUUUAAGACUGCUUCUAUUUAGUUUAUGUGCUAAAGGACGAUUAUUUUAGACAUCUGAAUUUUGUUUUUAACAGUGUUUUGUAUAGUAUUAAAUUUACCUUCAGCUUUUGGAUCAAUCAAUUAAUGUCAAAACAUGUUAUUCAGUGUUAUGUAGUAGGUCUUGUGUUUAAACUCUUAUAACGUUGUUUCUCCUCAAUUUCUAUUGACUCCACUUGUUGAGUCUUUCACAUAUUUCAAACGAACAAGUGAACUUAAGUUUUUUGGGUGAUAGUAACGAAUAAAUACAUGUUUUAAUCGGAGUAGUACUUUAGACUGGUUUAAGAAUUUAGUGGCACAGAUGAUAAAUUAAUGAACUUAACCGGAGACCACUUUUUAGCCUUACAAUUUGAAGAGGAAAUAAUUUGAUCUUUUCUCUUUUCUUAAGAAAAGAAUAAUCUUUGUUUUCUCAGCCAAUUCCCUUGUUGUCUUUCAGCAUUUUAAUAAAACUUUUCAAUUCAUUUAUCGAUUCUCCAUGAUAGAUGUUGAUGACAGUUAUAUUUGGUGAUUUACGACAGUUUGUAUGAAAUGUUUCUCAUAAGGAUAGUUCUAAAAUAGACCAGAAAUUGAUUUCUUGUCAAUAAACAAAGGUUUUCAACUGUCAGACACUUAGAUUAGUAGUGCAUUUGGGAUAGUGUUUGAACAUCUUUUGAGUAUACUUUAGAUAUUUUUAAAACUUUGAUAUUAGGCUUGAAUACAUGUUGCUAAGGAUUCUUCUGCUUCAUUGGUUAGCUAUACAUGGAGAUCCAGUGGUUUCUGUUGCAUUUCUUUUACAGAAUUAUUACUUGAUACUCUAUUUCUUCUGACAUCACAUUUUUUGGCUGUGUAAUUUCAAGUCUGCUGUAUUGGGUGAAAUGGUUGGGUCGAACCGAGCAUCUACUACUCUCUUGACUAUCUACUACCCCUUCUUGGGUUUGGGAGUUUUGGCCAUGCUACGUGGGCUCGUGCCCUGCUCAAGCAAGGCUGCAAUCACUGGCACACGACCAUCAAAUGGCAGGAAAAAGAGGGCUUGAACAGCCAACCAAAAUCGCCAAAGGAGUGCCUGUAUUACCUUUUCCGCACCCGAUUCAGGUUAGUAUUAACUGAGGAUGUUGGUUUCUUUAGGCACGGGUGCAACUCUGGCUAUGGAAUAUGGAUCGUUCAGCAUUUGUCUCGUUAGCAUUUCACAAGUCUUUCAUUGUAUGAGUAGUAAUGGUUCAAAGGGACCCUUCUGAGUUUUGAAUGAGAAUAAGGCCAAUGAACUUAAGAUUUGAUUUUCUAAUGUUCAGGAUUUUUUUUCUCAAUCUAGACUGAUCUACUGUCCAAAAAUGUAAUCGCGUGUUUCAAAAUUGAAUGUCGAAAUUAGUUAAGAGAGAAACUUAUAAAACACAAUACAAGAGUUUUAGAAUUUUCGAAAACAAACUUUUAUUUCUAAAAUGGUUCUGUCCCCUCUCUAAAUUUGUGGGAAUUUUCAAAAUAAUAUGUAAUGUAUGAUUAACAUUUGUAACGAUAAGAUACCAAAAGGGAAAAAUGUUAAAAGAUGUCAAAGGGCUAAACAAAACUUUUAAAUAGUAGAAACUACAUAGAGAGAUAAACGCUCAACAAUUGUCUACUAAGUCAUCAUCUCUAUAGUGUUUAUUUUUUUAAAAAAAAACUUCUGAAAACAUUCAUAAAUUCCAAAACAUAUUCAAUUUAGGAGGAGGGAUGAUUUUGGACCAAUAUGAGGAUAAAUCCAAAUAAUAAUUACAAAAGAAAGGGAGAUUGAAAUGAAGAUAAAGUCUUGGUAAGGGAGAGGAAUUGGUUUUUUGGGCCCAACCUAAUUCACUUGGCCUUGGUUUUGAAGGUUGAAGUCGAUCCUACUCUCGGGGCCGAGAAACCCAAUUCUCUAUUAAACACGCAUUGGAGUCCAACAAUCCUACCUUGGAUUCACUUAGGGUUAUCAAAUAGUCCGAUUUUGAAAGGGAACAAGAGAAGAUAUAGGUCCAACCCCUUUAUAAAUACAUCGUUAUGAGAGUCUCAAAUUUCAUAUAGCUUUCACAUUCCUCUACUCUCAAACUCAAGUAUUGGGGUGUGUAUGAAAAUUACCAUGUCAUGUUAGUAGGUCGUACAUACAUUCUUCUUCCUUCAACAAACAAAUUUAGUGUAUUGAUAAUUGAAAGCAGAAUGAGUUACUAGAUAAAAAGAAAAGAAGCCUAAAGUACUUAUUUAAGAAGUCAAAUGAAAGUAACGGAGGAAGAGGUCAAAUGAAACGCGGUGGACAAAGUGGAAAAUACAAGCAACAUGGCUGUCUCACAACAAAAACAACCCAACCUUGACCCUAUUUUCUGCAUUUGACCCCGUAAACAAACUAACCCCUUCACACUCCUCUAUACCAAUUCCACCACAUAAACAUCCACAUCUUUACUUCUUUUUCUUUUUUGAAAAAAAAAGGUUUCAAAAUGAAUACUUUCAUUAAAGAUUUGUAUCAAAUUAACACAUAAUCUGCCAAAUACUUAAUCAUAUUCUUCAAAAUUGGGAAAACAAAAAAGUAUAGUCUUAGUUUUGUAUUACUUUGUAUCCAUGCAUGAAAACUAUGAAUAAUAAUGUGACGACAAGUCAGCUUACAUCAUCAUCUGGCCCGCAUCUUGUUCCACGUGUCACAUUUUCGAGGAAUUUUGCCCUUUUUUUUAUGACGAGGUCAAUUUCUAAACAUUCAUUUCAUUUUCUUUCUCUCUUUUUGCUAUUUAUUUUUGUGGUGUCGGCUCCUAAGUUCGAUUGCUUAUUCAACUUCAUACCUUUCUUUUACCUUUAAUUUUUAUAUCUCCAUUUAAUUUAACAAAUUUAAUUAAUCUAACCCCAACCUUUUACUUGGUCGCUUAAUUAAGUAAUUCACUAUAUAAGUACUAUAUCAAACUAUAUAUUUAACAACUUUUCUUUAAUAAUUAAAUUAAUCACUAAGUUUACUAGGGUUGGUUUUUAGCAUCUACCGCCAAUCUACAAAUUUUGUUUAAUGUUUUAGUUAAGUUUAAAUUAGAAAUUUAUCUAUGGAAGCUUUUAAUUUUAUGUCAUUUUUUUAACUUAUAUGAUUUUUUAGAAAAUUUAAAAUUUAAUUGAUGAUUAAUAAAAAUUAUAAAUUUAAGUUUACCAUUUUUUUAAAGUUCUAUGAACCACAUGAAUAUAAAAUAUAAAAUUUAAUUACCAAACUUGUAUUUCAGUCUCUUGACUCGAAAGAAGUUAAGUUUAUAUAUAUAGAGAUAAACCUUGUAAUUUAAUCCUAAAAUUAACGUCUUGUUCAAUGUGUUUUAAUUCACUACAUUAUAACUAAAUGAUAGUUCACAUGAUUAUUUUUCUAAUAUUUACUGUACAUUUAAAUGGGUGUUGUGCAUGUCAUAGUCAAGUAAUAGUAGAGAAAGAAAAGAAAAUAAUUUAAAGAAAUUGUAUUAAUUAAGAAGGAUUCAAAGCUGAACCUAUUGAGAAAAGUUUGGAGUACUAUUCAACAGUAAUUAAAUUCGCCCCAAGCAAACUUUAAUAAUCAAGAGGAAAAAAAACCCUAAAUUGUCAAAAAAUACUAACAAAGAAAGCAUAAGAAAAACAAAAUUGAAACUUCUGAAUUAAAAAUAGGAUGUCAUCUUUUUAUGAAUAUAUUAUCAAAGUGUUUAGUUCAUCAGUUUUACAAGUUCAAUAGUGCCUUCAUUUUUCGUCUUUCUCUCUGUUGCACAUAUAUAUAUUAAAAACACUAACAGAUUUAAUAUUGAUGAAAGAGAUGUUCAAACUCUUCUCAUUUUUAUGCUCUUUAUAUAAUGUACACAAACAAACAAAAAUGGUAUCAACAAACUUAAUUGUAUUUUUAGAUCAAGGUUAAGGUCUCACCUUUUACAUUUAUAAUUACCUACCCUGGAUUCUUUAAUUUUAGACGUUAUAAUUGUGAAUUGUUGAAGAAAAUAUGAUAGGAGGUAUUAAAUGGGCAGUUAGGUAGAGGACAAAAAUAAAUAAAAUAAAAAGAAAGAGAAUUAGAAAGGCUAUAUAUACACACAGACACAUACAUAUACAUAUGUAUAUAGUAAAGAAUUUUGAUGAUGAAAACACAAAUGAAAGUAUUUAAUUAAAGAGAUUUUUAAGAGCGAGAAAUUUAAUGUUGGAAUAAGGUCGCGUGAUUGAAGGGUGUGUUCCAUUUGUCAAAUCACAAAACUCAAAAAAUUGCCUUAUCCUCGUGAAUAGUGUAAAGUCUUCUUAAUUUCAUUCCUUUUUUCUUUAUAUAUAUAAAUAUGUGUGUAUGUGUGUGUAUAUAUAUAAUUUUAACACAAAAAAAUAAUUAUUCAACCUUUUUUUCUUUUUAGAUUUAAAAACCAAACUCAAGUCAACUUGCAUGGUCCUAUAAAGAUAUUUAAUCGGGUAAUACAUAUAGCAUUUAUUGUCAUUUUUAAUUUCCUUCUCCCUUCUUGAUUUGUUUUGUCAAUAAAUAAAAGGUCAAAUUCUUCUAUGACCAUAUAUAUGUAUAUAUAUUAGAGCAAACAUUACAAUCUUAACACUAUAGUUUAAUUUGGGUCUAUAAUAGAAUUUUCAUUGGACAAAAUAAGAGAAUGCCCUUCAUCUUAUUUUGACUUUUUUUUCUAACCCUUUUACAUAAACACAAGUUUUUUUUAGUAUUUGAUUUAAUAAAGUAUAGAUAAUGUCUUUAAGUACUUUUUUUAGAAAUCGAUCACUUUAAUUGUUUGUAUAAAUAGAUUGUGGAGUUUGGUCAGAAAAAUAUUACUGAAAAUAAUAUCAUUUGUACUAUGUUUGAUUGUAAUAUAAUGUGAAAUAAUAGAAUAAUCUUUUGAAGGUAAGGUCUCUGCACCCACCUUUAACAACAAUAGUUCUUUGGUGUCAAAAUUUAAGCUAUUUUUUAAAAGUAAUUAUGUGAUAGCUUAUGCUAUUACUUUGAAUCCUAAGACUUUUCUCUAGUUUUUUUUAUAUGGUUGGACUUGUGUCCCCUCUCAUUAAAAGGAGUGACACCAUUGAUGGUCCUUUUUUUCUUUCUUUCUUUUUUUUUUUUGUCCCAUAUUACAAUCUAACGAGUAAUUAAAACACUUGCUUCAUCUUUUAACAAAGAGAACAAGGAUAUAUACAUAUUUUAUACGAAGAGGGAAGAAGUUGAAGAAAAGAUUAUCAUGUGACAACGCUAAAUUAACUAUUAGUAAUAUAAACAUCUAAUAGUUAGGUGAAGUUUAGGAUGUACCUAUCUUUUGUAUUCUACACUUCUCUGCCACACAAUUAAAAAAAAAGAUAAUUUAAAAAAUAAAUGUAGAAUUGAUUUACCUUCUAAUGAAUAUUUUCUUGCAAUUAUGUGAAAUUUUAUCUAGCUUUCCACCUUGUGCUUGAUCUUGCGAGGGAUUCUUUGAGUUUGUUAUAUAUGAUGAGGGUGCAUGCAAUGAAUCGGUUAGCCUAGUCAAUGGUGGAUUCAUAUUUUUUUUUUUGUUGACGUGAAGUUAUAGUCUAAUAAAAAUAGUUGAAAAGAAAAUAAAAAAGAAUUGAGCUUAAACUUAGGUCAAGAAAAUGUUAUAUAUAAUACACUUUUACCACUAAAAAUUAAUUUAUAGUAUUAUUAUUAAUUUCGUUUAUAUAUAUAAAUAAAGCUUGAGAAAGAGUUGAACCCUCUAGACUUACUAAAUUCAUUGCUGAACUUAGUUCAAAUGUUCGAGUGCAUCCAAAAUCAAUUCAUCUUCAUUAUUCCUUGGUUCACUAUUUUAAAAAUAGAUACGUAGUUCACUUUAAUCGAAUUUAUAAUAUCUUGAUUUUUGUUGUCUGUUAUAUUAUUUUAAUUUGGUCAUGUGUUUACCCUUUUCUUUUAUAUUCUCCAUAACUAUUUGUAUGAGUAGUUAAGGAGGUGAUCAAUCAUUUAGAAAUAUUUAUUAAUAAUAAGGACCUAUUUAGAAAUACUAUCCAUUAUUCCACAUUUAAUGUACUAACCAAAAGAAUGUAUUUAAAUUAAAUAAAGCAGAAUAUAAGUGAUUAAUUAUAACUCCAUCAACAUAUGACGACAAAAUUAAUAGACGUAAGUAUUCUUUUAGACCAUUAAAUAUAAAAAUAAAUACCAACAACGUUGAUGAUUUCAAUGAAUUUCAUUUCAAAAUCAAAUUAGUAACGAGAAUAAUUAAUAUACUUCCAUCCUUUUUAUUUUUUUCAAUAUAAAAUUGUCGAUAAAAUGUCGUUUUGCAAUUAUACUUGUAUAAAAAUCUUCAUUGGAUGUUAGUACUAAAUAUAUAUCUAUACUAUAUACAUAUUUGGAUAUAUAGCCUUAGCCCUCAAAUAUUGCACAAUUGCACAUUGAUGUUGCAUGAAAUUUAAAAUCUCACAUUUUUUUUUAAAUUUAUUAUCUAAAAAAUGUAUUCAUCCUUUGGGACCAAAGAAAAUUUUGCUUUAGAAUGUUAAGAACAUAUUGGGAAAAGUUUAGAUAUUUGAUGAAAACUUACAAAAGUCUUUUAAAUUAUACUUUUAAAAAAUACUUGUAAAGGUGAGAGAUAACGAGCAAUAAGACACAAGUUUAACCUAUGAUACCUAAAAAAUAAUUAUAGUCUAUGAAAAUCUAAACAAACAAAUGUAUAAUCAAAUAGAAACACGUUUAAACGAAUAGAUAAGAAUAAAUUUAAUUUAAUAUCUAAUAUUUAGAUCGACAUAUGGAGAUUUUUUACUCUCAAUUUUAUAGAAAUAUAGUAAAUAUUUUAACCGUUGCGACUAUGUUUAUAUUAAUCAAGAUAUUGUUAACUUUUUGAGCAUAUUUUAUAGAAAUGACGUUAUUAUUCAUUGUAUAUCGUCAAGAUAUAGAAGGCAGUAAUUAUUAUUUUGAUCCUCAAUUUUAGCUUUCUUAAAUUAGAAAAUGACAAACCUAUCUUUUGCAAGAAUUCAUUCAGAAAAUUUUCACCCUAUUUAAAAUUAUCGUUUAUAUUAUAAUAUACAUAAUCCCAUUCAUUCAUUAGAUUAAGAAAUACAAAUACUUCAAAGUUGUAUUCUAAUUAAGAGUCAUUAGUUUUUUCUAUUGCUAAAAUAUAAUGUACUAUAUUAUGAUAUUGAGCCAAAAGCUUGAAGAGAUAUGAUAUAUAAAUCCUCCAAAUUCCCAUUGGCACAUCUGCUUUUGCAUUAAUAAUAUAUAUAAAAUAAAAUUGUUCAACUUCAAGAAUCUUUAACCUUAAACAUCAAAUGUAACAACUCAGGUGAGGGACAUUAAUAUUCUAAUUUUCUCUACUCAUCAUUUCUCUUUCUAUUUAAUAUAGUUUGAUAAUGAUGAUAUUAAAUCCCCAUCAGUUUCAUACCCAAAAACAAAACUUUAUUAAAGAUUGGCAGUGCUUCCUUCAUUUAUUGCAAAAUGAUUUAUAAAGAUUAAUUACCUUUGUAGUCAUUGAAGAAUAAAACCUGCACAACUCUACCAUAUAACAUACCACCUGAAAAAAAAAUAGUUAUUAUUAUGACUCUAACACUGAGAUAUUUUUUUAAAAAAAUUGUACAAUUCAUUAAAAAUUUAAAUGAUGAAACUCAAAUUUAAUAGAAAAAUUAAAAAUAUAUGCAAUCCAAGAAAUAAAGAAAAACAUAUGAAAAACACUUGCUUCCAAAAUUUAUGGUAUCUUAUGCAAUAAAUGGAAUGUCAAUUAAGCUUCCUUAUAUGUGUAUGCGAGUGACUAUUUUUCCUUUAAUUUGUUUUUUCCUAAAGAGGAUUUUUAUGAUAAACAUUGUAAACAAUUAUAUAAUUAGAUUUGUCAUAUUUACUUUUACUUUACAACAAUUUAAAUAUAAGCAAGUCUUUCAUCAUUUAAAAAUAAUAAUAAUAACAAAUUCAUGUACUACUUUUUUCUUAUUAUUAUUCAAUUAAGCCAUGUACUGUUUUUACACGAUCAAUAUUACAGAAGAAAAUUCAUUUAUUUAUAUAUAUUUAUUUAUUUCAAGAGAAAUUUGUUAAUUUAAGGUCGAGUAUCUGUUGGUGAGCUUUUAGAAAGGAUUUAAUAAUAACUUGAUGAUUUAUUAGACACGAUCAAGAAGUCAAAUUAUUUCAAGGUUAGAAAAUGUUUGGUAAGUUGGAUAAUUUGAAAGAGUUGGAUUGGAUGAAUAAAAAAAAAUCAACUCAUACUUUAGGUCAUCAAUAAUUAAAGAGAUAUCGUUAUUUCUGAUUUAGUUAUUCAUGUUAACUCUUCCAUUUACUUCUCUGUAAUUAUAUUUAUACCAAUCCAAUUUAAACUAUUUGUUUCUAUGGCUAACCAAACUCCCCCUAGAGGAUGAGAAGCUUUAGUAUGUAUUAAAUAAGUGAAAUAAAAGAAUAAUGCAGUAUAAAAAUUUUAAAAUACAAUUAUAAGUUGAAAUUAUAAAUUAUAUAAACUUUAAAUUUUAUACCAAUAAGCCCAUAUAUUUUUAACGCAAAAUUGGAACUAAAUUUUUUAUUGAAAUUUAUGUUGCAUAUAAGAGUUUAUUUCUAAAAAUUUUGAAUGUAUGAAGUAUGUAUUCUUGUAAGUUAAGAAACCAAAUAAACAUGCAUAAAAGUUAAAAGUUAACCGCUAAACCUCUAACUUCAUAUAAUAGAAAUUAAGGUAUCAACUUAGUUGAGAUGUCUUAGUGCAACUAUUAAUUCAUAUUGUAAUUUGUUUUUCAAAAUAACUAAACUUAUAAUUUUAGGUAAUUGAGUGUAAUUUUACCUGCACUAAUACACUAAAUCCCAUCAAAACUUCACGGUUAAGUAUGCUUAGAUGAGAGUUGUACUAAAUUGGGUGACCACUUGAAAAUUUAUUGUGUUACACUCUCUUUAAGAUAUAACUUUGGAUAAUUGCUUUUAGUGAUAAAUGAAUCACUAGUAAAAAAUAUUUACAAAUAUAGCAAAACAUCAUUUCCCACUAACAACAAUAGACAUCGAUACACAGUAAAUACUAAUCUAUCGAUAUAUAUCACUUAUAAAUAGUAAAUUUCUUGUUAUAUGCGUAAAUAAAUUGAUUCAUUUAUACAUUCCACUUAAUUAACCUAAAUAUACAAGGUUGAAAAUAGACAUAAAUUUGAAAGUGAGAGCAUAGUAAAUGGUGUAAUUUAGUAAUAAUCAUAAAAGAAAAAAAAAAAGAGUAUGAAGAAGAUGUAUAUAUAUAUAUGGUUGGGAAGGGUUUAGUUGGAAAAGGUAGGAGGUGGUUUGAGGGAGAUUUUUUAUUAUUAUUAUUAUUUAUAAAAAGACAAUAAAUGGGUUAGAAAUUGGAAUGUUAAAAAGCUUUGGAAAGAAUAAAAUAAAAAAAUCGAGAAAAGAAAAAGAAUAGAAAAAAAUAGAGCGUUGUUUGGUAGCCGUCAUUCAUUGCACUAAACUUCUCCUACACCUAGGGCACAAUUAAACACCAACAACAAUUAAACAGUUUUUUCUUUUUUCUUUUUUCAAAAAUGAAAUUAAUAGAUAUAAAUUAUUUUCUCUUGGUGUGUGUGUGUGUGUGUGUAUAGCAAUUACGCCAUUUUCAGCCACCAUUAAAUGCAAUCCCACCUUCUCACUACCCUCUGCAAUUACUCUUUUCCUCUCCACACACACCCACUUUUUCUCCCAAUUCUCUUUUCCUCUCAACUUAAUUUUCAACACUUCACUCCCACAAACAUACAAACACACAAACAAAUUCUUUUUUUUCUCCUUCUUCUUCUUCUUUGUUCUUCACAACUUUAAUUACUUGUGUCUUUGAUCUAGGUUUCUUCUUCUUUUUCCUGGGGGGGAGGGGGGUCUUGUUUCAUGAAUUAACAUUUGUUGGUAAUUUUGUGUAUUAUUGUGCUUUUGUGAAGUAUAUAGUUAGAUUUGAUCUCCUUUUUUGUUUUAGAAUUCUCUUUAAUUAUCUUUUUCAAGCAGAUAGGAGGGAAAAGAAAAGCAGUUUAGAAGAUCCAAAAAGUGAAUUAUCUGUCAAAGAGAAAAAAAAAAGUUCACUUUACUUGUGAGAGAAUCUCCAAAAAGUUGAAAGAAGUAAACCCUUUUUUUUAAUAAUUUUUUUCCCUCCCCAUCAUAAAAUAAAAUGAAGUAUUUUCUCUAGAAAGAAAAAAUAAAAAGAAAGAUUGUAUUUUUUUUAUAUAUAAAAAAAUCAAUUGAGAAGAAAAUGCCAGCCGGAAUGAUGAUUCCAGCGAGAAACACAGCGUCGUCCAUGAUCGGAAGAAAUGGAAAUGUUGGAAUUUUUGGGUCCCCAGCCAGCCUUGUUCUUGGUCAGGUCAGUAUUUAAUUCAACACCCAAUUUCAUAAAUAUAUUAAUUAUUUAUCGAUAAAAUCACUUGUUGAUACAAAAGUUUAAUCGAUAUGGAGCUCUAUACAGGAGCUGCAGGGAAUAGAAAUGGGAGAAAAUGAAUAUGGAAGAAUGAGAGAAACAGAAGAGUUUGAAAGUGGAACAAAAUCAAGUAGUGAGAAUCAUGAGGUUGGUUCCGGUGAUGACCAACUCAAUAACCAACGCCCCAACAAGAAAAAGCGUUACCACCGCCACACUCAGCAUCAGAUCCAACAAAUGGAAGCGUAAGUAUACUGUAUUUGUAAUUUCAUCUCUUUUUACUUACUUACCAUUUUUAACUCAAAACGCACACAUAACUAAUUGGAUUCAAGUAAGUAAUUCAGAAAUACUUAAGGAUGUCCAACUAACAAAGAAAAGUAAAUAAUACAAAAUUUGACAUAUGUCUAUGGAAUCAUAAAUUUUAAUAGACAUAGAGAUCAUGUUUAAUUGUAAUUUAAUGACUAUCCUCUUUUACUUUCUAAUUUACCAUUUUAUAUUAACUCCACUUAAAUUUUAAUGUUGAAGGCUCCUCGAUCUCUUCUUGUUCGAGUAUUCAACGUAUUUGAGAAUGAUUGGAAAUCAUUUUCCAUGAUUAGAAAAAUACUAAAUUAAUUAUAGUAAGUGAGUAUGGUUUGGAGCGAUUUUAAUAAUAUUAAAAACCACUCACAAAUUUGCACUAAUCCUAUAUUUAACAAAACUCUAAACUCUAAUUUUUUUUUUUUUCUGUUUUGUAUAUGGAGAAUUUAUGAAAUUAGUUGGAAAGUUGAAGGAUAUAUAUGUAUGAAAACACAUAUUUUAACAAGUUAUUAUAUAGUGAGCAUUAUUAUUAUUGUCCAAAAAAUGAGAAGAUUUUGGUGGGUGGGCUUAUGUAUUUAUUUAUUUAUUGGGUAAAAUAGGUUUUUCAAGGAAUGCCCUCACCCAGAUGACAAGCAAAGGAAGGAGCUAAGUAGGGAGUUGAAUUUAGAGCCAUUGCAAGUCAAGUUCUGGUUCCAAAACAAGAGAACUCAGAUGAAGGUAUUACACGAUUUCUUUUUCUUUUUCUUUUUUUUUCUAUUAUUAAUGUUGUUAAUUAUUAAUAAAUAAAUAUUAUAAUGUAAUGUGUAAUGUAAUAUGCAGACACAUCAUGAGCGACAUGAAAACACACAGCUCCGAACAGAAAAUGAGAAGCUAAGAGCAGAUAAUAUGAGAUAUAGAGAAGCUCUAAGCAAUGCCACGUGUCCCAAUUGUGGAGGUCCUACCGCCAUUGGAGAGAUGUCCUUUGAUGAACAUCAUCUUAGGCUUGAAAAUGCUCGCUUGAGAGAAGAGGUAAACCAUUCUUCUCUGUGUUUUUUAUUCACGACUGCAUCUAUCUUUACUCAGCACGUUUACAUUCGAAUCUAUUGUGUCAUGUGUAAUAUUUCUUUUUUGUCAAUUAAAAUAUUGUUUUCAAAUACUUUUUAUUCCUUGAUUUUGAAAGAAAUGCAAGAAGAUGGAUGGAUGUUGGUGCAACCCUCAAUUUUAAACAUUUUGUUUUGUUUUUUAAGUAAGUGUUUCAAUAUUUUUAAAUUUUAAAUUUUAAGAAACAAAAUAUAAUUAGUAAUGCAAUUUUUUCUAUUGAAAAUUUUGCUAAGUUUAAUUUUAGAAAACUAAGCAUAAAUGGCUAACCAAUAAAAUCUAAACUAACUUAUUGAAGUGUGAACUAAUUCUUUUAUCAAUAUAUUAAAACUCUCUCACUUGUGUGGUCUUUGGAAUUUACACAAUAUACCUUCCCUGCACACUUCCAAGUGAUAUUAGGGUAAAUUAUGUUGCUUAAAAAGAUGUUAAACUUUUUUUAUUCACUUCUCUUGCCCAAAUGCUAAACUUGAGUUUAGCAAUUGUAAAUUUUCUAUGAUAUUAUUGAAUAAUAACUUAAAUCUUUUCGAUACUGAAUAGACAAACAACUGCAGACUCAACAAAGGAAAGAAAAGAACUCAAAUAUGAAAAAGAAAAAAAAUAUAUAAAAGGCAAAUACUGCAAUGAUUUAAGAGUUUAAUAAUUUAUUAAAUAAUUUGCAUCACGCAGAUCGAUCGAAUUUCAGCCAUAGCAGCAAAAUACGUUGGAAAGCCAGUAUCAAACUACCCUCUUCUUUCCACACCAAUCCCUUCACGUCCUCUAGAACUUGGAAUGGGAAGCUAUGGAGGCCACGAUUUGGGCCUUGGACCGGGAGGCGGGGACAUGUUCGGGGCAGCGGACCUUCUAAGGACCAUAAGUGCACCAUCAGAGGCGGACAAGCCGGUAAUCAUCGAGCUAGCGGUUGCAGCAAUGGAGGAGCUGGUCAGAAUGGCUCAGAUGGGUGAGCCACUGUGGAUGACAGGGGUUGAUGGGUCAACGAAUGAGCUUAAUGAAGAGGAAUAUGUUAGAAGCUUUCCAAGAGGAAUUGGUCCUAAGCCAUCUGGGUUUAGCUGUGAAGCUUCUCGUGCUACUGCUGUUGUCAUUAUGAAUCACAUUAGCCUCGUUGAGAUGCUCAUGGAUGUGGUAAAUUAAUUAACCUCAUUCUUAACCCUUUCUUCUCUCUUGAUUGGCAUAGUUUAACAUUGUAUUAUCAAACAAAAGGUCUUACAUUAUUUCCUUCCUAAUUAAUAAUGAAUUUCACUUGUUUUUUUCGCGUGAAAGUGUGAUAGAACAACGUUGAUACAAUAAUAAAUUUGUUGAUAACCAUAAUAAUCACAGUAAUAUCUGGUGCUUGUUCCCAUUAUUUGUGUUUUUGGGUUUGUCAGAAUCAAUGGUCAACAACAUUCACAGGGAUUGUGUCAAGAGCUAUGACAUUAGAAGUAUUAUCAACCGGCGUUGCUGGAAACUACAACGGAGCAUUACAAGUGGUAAUUAAUUAAUUUAAUUUAUUAAAUAUAUAAUAUAUACUUUAAUUGUCUAUUAGUAUAUAGUUUCUAAUAAUAUAUGUAAUUUAUUUCUAUUGAUGAUCAGAUGACAUCCGAAUUGCAAGUGCCUUCUCCACUAGUUCCAACUCGGGAGAGCUAUUUUGUGAGGUACUGUAAACAACAUGGUGAGGGAACAUGGGCUGUUGUCGACGUUUCCUUAGACACUUUACGCCCAGCUCCUGCUCUUAGAUGUAGAAGAAGGCCAUCCGGCUGCUUAAUCCAAGAAAUGCCCAAUGGUUAUUCUAAGGUAAUUAUUAUUCUUUUAUGAAUAGUUGAGAUAUUUUUACUAUAUAUAGUAGUAGAAAUAUAUUAAAUGUUUUCUAAUAAUUAAUCAUUAGAUGUAAUUUAAGUUUCUGAGAAUUAGGCCCUAAAUUUGGUUUGUGUGUUUUGAAUGAUAUAUAUAUAUAGGUUACAUGGGUUGAGCAUGUUGAGGUGGAUGAUCGUGGUGUCCACAGUUUAUACAACCAGCUAGUUAGCUCUGGCCACGCGUUCGGCGCAAAGCGUUGGAUUGCCACGUUGGAUCGUCAGUGUGAACGACUCGCCAGCGCCAUGGCCACCAGUAUUAUUCCUAAUGGCGAUGCUGGAGGUAUAGUUUCUGAACGAUCAUGCAUGCAUGAUUUUAAUAUAUUGUUUCUCUCUUACCGCACAUCAUCAAGUUAGCCAUAGCUAGCAUGCAUUAAAACUGUGAAUCACACACAUUGUCUAUCUAAUCUAUGAAUUGUCACUUUAAUAUGUUGUGUUUGAUGUGAAAGGCGCUAAGUAGUGUUGUUAAUGAUGAAAAAAUUUAUAUAUAAUAUCAGUGAUAACAAAUCAAGAAGGAAGAAAGAGCAUGUUGAAGCUGGCAGAGAGAAUGGUGAUGAGCUUUUGCGGUGGAGUGAGCGCGUCGACAACACACACUUGGACGACUCUGUCGGGAACCGGAGCUGACGACGUUCGAGUUAUGACGAGAAAGAGCGUUGACGAUCCCGGCAGACCAUCCGGCAUUGUCCUCAGCGCAGCCACUUCCUUUUGGCUGCCUCUUCCUCCCAACAGAGUCUUCCAUUUUCUCAGAGAUGAAAAUUCUCGUAAUGAGGUAUGUAUUUUUACUUCCUAUAAUGGAGAAAUUGACCAGUUUAAUUAAUAAUGUGUCUGUACAUUGUACAAUAUUAUAGGAUCCUGAAAUUUAGUCAUACUCUUAAAACAUCCAAUUCUAAUAAAAUAAAAUGCAAAGUCUAUGGAUAUUAAAUGUUUAUAUUUUUUUUCUUCUUCUUGUGAAUCAAAUGUUAUAAGGUGUGUAAUAUAAUUGUUAUGUGUGCUUAUACUAAUAAUAGAUGGUGAUUAAUUGCUAAUUAUAGAUUGUUCAACACAUGUAUUUAAAUUUAACUAUAAAUAAAACUUCAUAUAUUACAGUGGGAUAUUCUUUCAAAUGGUGGAGUUGUUCAAGAAAUGGCUCACAUUGCCAAUGGCCGUGACACAGGCAAUUGUGUUUCCUUACUACGAGUUAACGUAAGUUUUCCUUAACAAACUUCCUAAAUGAUAAAGUUAUUAAGUAGGAUGAUAGAAUACUUACGGUUUUUUGGAAUUUGUCUAAUUAUUAUUAUUUUUUGUUUGUUUGUAAAAUUUUAGAGUGCAAAUUCAAGCCAAAGUAACAUGUUAAUAUUACAAGAAAGCAGCACAGAUCAAACAGCCUCAUUCGUGAUAUACGCACCGGUGGACAUUGUGUCAAUCAACGUGGUGCUAAACGGGGGAGAUCCCGAUUAUGUGGCUCUUCUGCCAUCUGGAUUUGCUAUUCUUCCCGACGGAAGCACGGCGUCAAGCGGGGGGGCCAAUGGCGUGGGGGAACAUGGGUCCGGUGGGUCGCUUUUAACGGUGGCGUUUCAGAUAUUGGUUGACUCGGUUCCCACAGCAAAAUUAUCUCUUGGGUCAGUUGCGACGGUCAACAAUCUCAUUGCAUGUACGGUUGAGAGAAUUAAAGCCUCUUUGUCAUGCGACAAUCCUUAAACCGUAAGUCAUCAAAAUUCUCUCUUUCACAUUUCAUUGCAAUUUCUUUCACCUUACGCCAUGCUUUCUUUUUCUCUUUUCUUUUUUCUAUUAAAUUUCAAGUUUAGUCCCUCUUCAAUUUUUAAAAAUGUUUAUUUCUCACUAAUAGUCUAUCUUGGUGGAUUUGUAAUUAUUUUUUAGUUAGUUUUUUCAUUUUAAACAAUUUUUUUACAUUUUUAAUAAAAUUAAAAUUAUAAAAAUUAGUUGAUUUAAGUGGAUAAAAUCUUCUAUUUUAUGUUUAAUAUAUGGAUCCUGUGUGUUCCAAUUUUGUUUUAAAAUAUUACCAAAAUUUAGGGAAUAAAUUUGUAAUUUUUAAAUUUUAGAGAUUUAAAUAGAUAAAAAAAAAAAAAAAAACUCAAAAUGUACCGUCUAGAAUUAAUUUUGUAAUUUAACUUUAAUAGAGGAAUCUUUUAAGUUUAAGUAAUAUUUUAUGUAGUAAUUUCUAAUUUGGUUAAUUAUAUAAUAUUCUUACUUUCAAAUCAUUCAUUUCUUACCAAAUACACCAAGCUUCUUUUUUUUUUUUUUUUUUUUGUAAGCCUCCCUUCAUUUAUUUAUUUUUCAAUCAUAAUACUACAUUCAAUAGAAAAGUUUAAAGUAGAAUUGUUAAGGAUGUAAGCUGAAAAUACAGAUUUAAACCCAUUGUUUUAAAUCCAUUAAGAUUUGAAAUUAAUGACAAGUAGGAUGUUCACUGUAGCCAAGUACUUAUUAGAGCAAUUCAACUUUAUCCUCUUAAAUUCUAUCAAACAAUAAUCCAACCAUUUAGUACUUUAUAUAUAUAUGUAUGGUGACAAUAAUUGAAGUUGAGGUUUAAAUGAAUUUGCAGAGAAGGAGAAAGAUAAGUGGAAGAAGUCAAGAACGCACCUCGAAAGAAAUUGAAAGUUGGGUAAGCAUUUAAUUGUGAGGGGUUCGGGUAUUGACUUUCUCCAUUAUUAUCAUUAUUAUUAUUAUCAUUAAUGUAGUUAAAAGCUUAUGAUAAUUUUAGGGUUUCUCUGAGGAGUUUUUCAGUUUCUUCAUGUAGUAUAAAAUUCUGUUUGUGUCUUAUUGUUGUAAUGUUUUCCAAUGUGUGCAUUAUUAGAGAGAGUCUAGGGGGAAGCCCACACCUUACUGCCUCUAUAUAUAAGUCUAAUAUAUAUAACAUUUCCAAGCUGAUUGUGUAUCAUUAUCUCAUAUAAUAUAUAAUGUAUUUUCUCAUUAUUUUUGUCCAUUUUUGUUCUAUUUCUUUCAGUGGAGAAAAUAAACAAGUAACCAUGCCCAUGAGGGAUAAUUUGGAUAUGUCACAUAUGACAUAUGUGAGUCUAAUAAAAAACAUAGGGUAUUGUAUAAGAAUCUUAAAAGUUUAUGAGCGUAUAAACAUUUAGAUCAAUUAUGAUAGUAAUUCUAUAGUUCUUAUACAAUUAUACUUUAGAGUCUAGAGUCUAGAGUCGUUUGGAUUGAUUGAAUUACAAUUUGAAUAAAAAAAGAAUCAACAUACCAUUCUUUGAUUUCCAAUUAUAUCUUAAAUUUUUCAAACAUAUGUAUACAUAUACAUACAUACUUUCAACCAAAUGGACCUAAAUUAUAAGCUUGUAACCUUAUAUCUACUUUCUUUCUUUUUAAAAAGAAAACAAAGUUUUUAUAUCUUGAAUUUGAGCUUUUAAAACCUAGUUCCACCCAUAAUUAAUUUUUUUUUAGUUUUAGCAAACUUUUUACCAAUAUUUUUAAAAAUCAACUCAAUUUUUUUCAAUGGAAAAACAAAAACAAAAUCACUAGCUUUUUACCAUAAAAAUUAUAAUUCCAUCCAAUUAAGCUUAACUAGACUUAAAAAAAAAGGUGUACUUUUACGUCUAAAAGCAAACUCUAAACUUCUAAUUCAAAUCUCACUAAACUCUAAAGCUAUUUCCAAUAAUCUACUACGACCCCCCAAGAAAAAAAAGUAUGCAGUAUUUAAAGAGCAGUAAAUAAUGAUUGCAACUCCAUCGAGUUUGUACAAAAUAACGACAUGUCGUUUAAGUCCAAAGCCCAGGAUGAUUUUAGGGGCCCAAUAAAAUUUAUCGGGUGUUAAAGUGGGCUGAAAAACCAAAAGCCCAUAAGAAGAUCGUCGGCAGAAUAAGCACAGAAAGUCAAAGCUUAUUUUGUAGGAUUCCUAGUCGGUCAUGGAAUCGAAUUUUGUCCCAUGAAAAUUAAUAUGUUGGAGUUUUCUUCUUCUUAUUUAUUUAUUUAUUUCCUUCAUUUUUAUAAAUAAUAAAUAAUGUGGGAGUUAUUUUAAUGAUUUUUUAAAAGAGAAUAAAUAAUGUCGGAGUUUUGUUACAAACAAUAUAAUAUAUCUCAUCUAAAACCCACAAAGGUCAACCCCUUGGCUCUAUCAUUUAUGUCUCUUCCACCUUCUCUCUCAUUCUUUUCUCUAUCUAAAGCUUUUCAUUAUAUUCCAUUUCUUCUGUCUUUACACUUAAUUCUUUUAUACAAUCUUUCAUAAGUGUAAGAUUCGAUAUUCAUCAAUUAAAUCAAUUCUAAAGUAUUUCAUUAGAUGUAUUUGUAGGAGAAAGGAACAUCAAUUAAACUAAAAACAAAGUUACGAUGAGAAAUCAAAUGAAAUUAAUAAUAUUUUCUUUUUUCUCCUGUCUCUCUCUAAUUUUCUGUUGGAACAGUUUGGUUUUAACUUCCUUGGGUGGCCCAUGACACCGAUUCAACGUCAUGGACGACCAUUUUUCUCCAUUUUUCACCACCCCCCAAUUAUCAUUCUAACAAUUAAUAAUGACAGUGGAAUUUUAUAUAUAUGUGUAUUUCAAAUUAUCAAACUUCUCCCUUUCUUAAACCCCUUCUCUCAAAACUCUCAUCUCUCUCUCUCUCUCUCUCUCUCUCUAUUAUUGUUUUCUUUUCAUGGAGAACAACGACCACGCCACCCUUCAAGCUGAUGAUUCCCUGCCGGAAAAUUCCUCCGCCGUCAGAGAUGAAGAGCAAGAAGAGAGUGGUUGGACUGAUUACUUGGAGGAUUAUUUCAAUUCGGAAUUUGUUGAAAGAGAGAGCAGUUUUUUGUGUUCAAGUAUUGGGAGCUGUUCAAAUUGGGAUGAUCGUAAUAAUAUUUCAUAUCCCAGUUAUGAUAUUAAUUAUAAUAUCAAUAUUGGGAAUGUAAAUUAUGACGAUUUCCCAAAGUCAAAUAACCUAACUUUCAAGAAAACAAGAACUCAGAAGAUUUUUGAGGAUGAUGAUUCCUUACAAGAUACUGCUACUUCUCCUAUUCAUAGUCCAAAAGUUAGCACAUUAUGUUGUUUAAUUUUCUUCUUCCCUUUUUAAUUUUUUACUUUCUAUGAUCUUGAAAAUCAAUAUUGAAAAAUCUCUCUGUCUUAGGUUGUUGAUCUGAAAGUGAGAACAUCCCAAGAAAAUCAAGGGUUUGAUGAUCACAUCACAAUCUUCGCUAACUCUACGGUAAUUGCUCUCUUCUUUCUUCUCUUCGUGAAAUUAAGCAUGACGGUUGUAAACCGUUGGAUGAUGUAGAUGAAAAUUUAUGGGUUUUUUUUAAAAAAAAAAUUAAACCCACAUGAUGAUUUUUGUAGGGAAGUGGAAGGCAAAUGGGGAAAUAUUAUUCAAACAAAGAGAAGGGUGUUUAUUCAGCUGAGAAAAAAGGGUUGUGUUUGUUUCCCUUCUCCAUGCUCCUUAAUUACCAUAAUUGAGACUAUGUAUUUUUUAAGCAAUAAUAUGUUGAGCAAUUUAAAUACUCUCUCUCUCUCUCUCUCUCUCUCUCUCUCUCUCUCUCUCUCUCUCUCUCUCUUUAUUUUAAUUGUUAUAUAUAUCAAGUAAAUAUGUGACAAGAAUUUAAUCUCCUCUUCCUUCUUUCUUAGGAAAUUUUUUAGUUAUGUAUAUACUUCCAAAGUUAAAUUCGUUUAGUUGCACACACGUUGUGUAGGAGUGGAAGUUAUAUCUUGGGAGUGGAAGUGCUGAAAAGACUCCAAAUAUACAAGUAGGAAAAGACAAUAUGCAUCUCGAUAUAAACUACAUGCUUUCUCAAACCUUAUUUCUAAUUAACUUUUUGUUGUUCAUUUAUUUGCAUGGUUUUAAUAUUCUAUCCAAUUAGUUUUCACAGAAUAUUUUUCCAACAUAAUAAUCAUUAAAACCUCUAAUGUAAACUCUCAACCUAAAUUAAUUAGUAUUACUAUAAUUCAUUACUAUUUACUCUCUCUCUAUGUGCUUGUUCUCUCUCUUUGUGUUGUUUAAUUUUUAGAUUAUUAUUCCACGAACGAGAAAACUUUCCUCUUGACCAACCACCACUCAAAAAAGUAUUCAUAGCUACAUUUAUAUAUAUAUAUUAGAAAAAGUAGAAGUUAUCCAAUUAGAAAAAGAUGGUGGGUGAGUGAGAGGUAUUCUUGUUCACGAGUUAGAAGAUGGGUCUUUUUCCUUAAUUAAAUCGAUUGCUUUAACUUAAACCCUAAUUAAUUAUCCAUGAUUAUCUUUUAAGUUAUUUGAGUAUAUAUGUGUGUGUGAAAUCAAACUCAUGCAAACAUGGGUUUUUCCUUUGUCAUUUUUCAUGGAUUUUAUAUUAUUUUAUUUUACAAAAGACUUGAAUGUCAAGUGAUCUCAUGAACUUUUGAUUAUUACAUGUGAACUUGGAAGCAAAUUUUCAAAACUUGUCAUGUGUGCCUAAUAAAUACUUUAAAUGUUCAAUCAUUCAAGAAAUCUAAUUUGAUAUUAUCUAAUAAUUGAAAUUAUAAUGAAAAACACAUUCAAUCAAUGUUUUAGAUACAGAACACGUAUAUAAGUUUGUGUCACAUCGCUCAAUCAAAUAAAAUUAAUUGGUGCCAUCUUUGUUUUAACAAAAUGGUCAAUCAAGAAUUGAUUUGUUAUAUCAAUUAAAUCAUUAAAGGAUGAUUGUAUAGUUUUGUAAAUCAAUUUACACAUUUUAUUGAAGAAUAUUUCAUGUGAAAUUUAUAAGUGUAUGAAUUGAAAUGCAUGUAUGAAUCAAUUUAGACUCUAAUCAUAAUUUUCUUUCAAAAUUGUCCAUGUGUCUGAUUAUCCAAUUUUUAAAAUUGGAAUAAAUACCGCACAUGUUUGAGAACUAGUGUAUGGAUGGUAAUCAACGCUAAUCUUCUAAUUAUGAAGAGUCAAAAUUAAUUGACUGAUGAAACUUUCCAUGUUUUAAAAUCGAUUCAAAUUAUAAGUUUAACAUGAUAUUAGUUCAACAAAAUUUAAAGGAGUUAUACAUAGAUCGAUUUCAAUGUUUCAACUGAUACACAAUUAUCAAUUUAGAGUUUUACAUUGAUAGAACCUCAAAGUUUAUGACAUUUGACCAAUAUGAUUUACAUCUUUAAAUGUAUGGCGACAAAGUUGCAUGCGUAGUACCGAGUGUUAUAAAACUUUUGCUUGGAUUGACAUGCCAUUAUUCAAACGUUGUUGGAAAGGUAAAAUGUUUGGUUCCAAAAUAGUAUAUUUGGACCCCAAAAAACAUGUACUAAGAAAAAGAAGAAACAAGAAAAAGAAAGGCACAAAGUUUUGUUUGUUUUCACAUGAAAAUUUUUAACUUUAGAAGUUGUUUGAUGGAUAAAUGGAUGGGUUGGGUGAGAUCAUUGCACAUAUUCUUCUUUUCACUCAAUAUCAAAUUUUCUUGUUUCCUUUCCUUUUUAUUUAUUAUUAUCUACUUUGGUGGAGAGAUGUGUUGUCAAAAGACUAAAUUAUUAAAAAAACAAAUUCUUUUUAUUCUUUGUUUUAAUAUAAUAUAACUUUCAAAAUGGGUAAGAAAAAUUCCCAUGAUACACUUGAACUUUUAAGAGAAAUUAAUAUUCUUAAAUAUCUUUUUUAAAAAAUAAAAAUAUCAUUAUCUAAUACGUUAUUAUCAUUAAUAUAAGCAUUCUAAACAGUUUAAAGUUUGGUUUGGUGUAUUAUUAUUCCAACGUUUGAAAAAGUUAAAAGUAAGAUUUUUUUUUUUUUUUUUUAUGAUUUAACAUUUUCAAUAUUAAAUUAGUGGAUGCAUGGUUUGUUCUGAGUUAAUGCAAUGGGAAAUGGGUCCAUGAAAAGUCUAGACAGAACAGUGGUUUAGAAUAACAAUAAUAUAGACAUAGAUAUAGAGAUAGAUAUAAAGGAUUAAUGUAAUUUUAAAGGGAAAUAGAUAAUAAUAAUAAUAAAAAAAAAGGAUGUGUUGGGUUUAAAUUUGAAAUAUAUAAAAGGAAAUCAAAGGGGGAGUUGUUUAAAUAAAGAAAAGAAAAGAAAAGAAAGAGAGAAGGGUGGAGACCCCUCCAUGUGCAAAACACAGAGUAGGCUGAGGAAGGUAGUUCAGUUUAAUGGAAAUUUGUACAUCAAUUAAUUAACUUUUUCUGCUACACUCACUAUAUCUAUGUUACCUCUUCUCCACAUUUUUAGAUGUGUAUUUAAUCUUUAUCCAAAAAGGAAAUUCUUUAGGUAAAAAGAAAAAUAUAUGUAUUUAGUCUUUUUAAUUCUUAGUUAUUAUCUGUUGGAUCAAACAGUGAGGUAUGUAAUAAAAUCUCUGUCCUAACACCCUCUUAUUCGUAGUACAUUAAUGUCUAUCUAUGUUUUCAAAUUUUGUCAAUAAUUUACUUUUACACAUGCACUUGUGUUCAUUAAGGGUUAUAUAUAUAUCUAUCUAUAUAUGUUCUAUUUACCUAUUCUAUUUACCUAUUCUACUUCCUUUUCUAUUAAAUUACUUUCACCUACAACUUGGCAUCCUCCAUAUUACUUUAUCUUGUAAGCUUUCUAGGAAAAUUUGUUUGAAUUGAAAAUUGAAAAUUGAAUAAUAAUGAAAAAAAAAAAUGUUGUAUAACUUUAAAAUUAUAUUUUGGUACUUUCUUAGUCAACCGAACCUAACUCAAUUGACGUACGAAUGUGUUGUACUAAAAGAAAAAUAAGUUUGAUUUUAGUCAAAUAUUAUACCUUUUGAAAUUAUCAAGAAAAUGCAUGCAUUUGAAUAAACUUAAAAGGUUUCUUGUAUGCUUGGCAAAAAGAAAAACACUUAUUUACUUUUGCAAAAAUGAUUAAGAAAAAAAAAAAAAACUCAACCCACGUGAUACAUCUUAUUAUAUAGACUUGAUACAUCUGAUAUACUUGAAAUACUUUUAUGCAUCAUUGAUAUAUACUUGAUGUACUUGAUACCUCCUUCCAAUAAGACAUUUGAUACACACUUGAUAAACAUUUGAUAUAUAUAUUUAAUAUAUCAAAUAUUUGUAUUUAUGUUAAAAAAAAAAAUUGAAUUUUUAUUGAAAGAUUGUGAGAAAAGAAAAAAAAUAUAUUUAUGGUAAAAGUAAAAUCCUCGAACACAUUAUUAUAACUCAAACUAAAAUAAUUUAUAUUUCAAACACAAACUAUUAAAAUCCAAUUAUAAUAAUCAAGGACUAUAAUAACUCACUCUUUAGUCUUUAUCUCAAACGCUCUAUUAAAAAAGUGUUUUACUUUUUUUUUUUUGUCCUAAAGUUGAUAAAAAUCAAUUUAUUCAUGAAAAUAUCACAUUAGUUUAUAUCUGAAAUGUCGUUACAUAUAUUUAUUUAAUUGUCAUUAAAUUAAAAGUUUUAUUUUUUAAUUUUUUUGUCAUUUUUAAUAUUUAUGUAUAUAAACAUGUGAAUUAGAUGUAUCAAGUAUACCUUAGGUAUACUAAGUAUAUGAUAUGUAUAAAUGGGAUUGGACUUAUUUGAUUGUUUUUUAUCAUAUUUACACAUACCCAAGAAGAAAUGAAUAAAAAUGAAUGAGAAUGAAUUAUUGUUUUGAAAAUUAGAUCACAUCAACUAAUUUCAUAAAAAUAAAGAAUGAAUUGGUUGGAAUAUAGAACAAAAAUAAAGUAACAAAAGGGUAGCUAUAUGGUCAGGGUUGGUUGGUUAGUUAAGCAGUAGCAUAUACAUAAAUCAAUUCAAUUAGAGAGAUGAUUAAUUAAUUAACUUAGUGCCCAGUUUAGGUAUUGCCUUAAGAUUUAAUUAAGUACCUAAGCUUAAGUUAAGUGACCCAUUACAUAAUAUUAACCACCAAAUUAUCAAUCAUGAUGGGGUUUUUAUUUUUAUAAUCGGAUGAACUUAAAACACAAGAAUUCGUCUUUAUUAACAACUACAAGUCAAAUAAUUAAAUUAUUAUUUCAUCUUUGGCCUUUUUAUUUCAUUUUUUAAUUUUAGCCUUAUAUGUUUUUUUCUUUGGUCCAAUUAUAAAAAUCAAAACUAGAUUUUUCUAAUUUUCCAUUUUCAAAAUCUCCAUUUGGAUUCUUCCAAACAUUUCAAAAAAAGUAAAUAAUGCUAAGCGUAACAAAUUAUGAGAUUAGCGGUCUAAAACAAACUUUAAAUGUCUGAAAUAUAAUUAAAAAAAAUAUCAACAAGCAUCCUAAACGAAAGGAGUUUAAUGUAAUGAAAUUUGGACGGAUAAGUUGAACCAGUAAAUCUUGAGUAUCAAAUGACUGAGUUAUAUUAACCUCAUCAUUUGACCAUUUAGAAAAAGAGAGCAAGUAUCUUUAAAUGAGAGAUCAGUCUUAUAUAUAUAUAUAUAUAUAUUUUUUGUACUUAGUUAAAUUAGUCGCUAUUAUUGUGUUAUUUCACAUUUGGUGAAAGUCCAAACUAAAGCACACUUGGGCAUUGGGUUAUUUUAAAAUAACCAAACUUGCAACCGUGGGAAAAAAGCAUGCAAAUGAAAAGAAUUAAAAGGUUAUGACAAUUGAUAAAUAUAUUGAAAUUUACCCAUCCAACCAGAAAUUCUUGUACAGUCGUUCUGGAUUGAUUUGUGGUCCGAUCAAUCUAAAAUUUUGAUAUUCUUGGAGCUACUUACAAUGAGUUACUGUGGGUAAUUAGUUGCCAACGUCGAGUGAGAUAUUUCUAAUUAUUAUUUCUUAAUCAUUGUUGUCGAUUUUUUGUCAAUAUUGUUAAUCUUAAGAUAUAUUUAUAUAUGCCUCUAGACUCUAGUGGCAAUGACUAGGAAGAACUUGUUGCACCCAUUAUUUUGAUUUUAGUGGAGAUUUUGUCUUUGGUUCAUAGUCUUUUAAUUUACUACUUAUUUUGAGGGGGUUUUCCACAUUAUAGUUCUUUGUUUUCAUACUCGGUUUAUUGUUUUCAGUUUGUCAGUAUGAUAUUAGAUUCACACAACAAUGAGAUUAUCGAUCCAAAGAUAUAAUGUUUAUACCAAUAACUCUAACUUGUGUUGAAACUCAAUAGACACAACAAUAUAUUACAUCGAUGCAAGGAAUUCUUAUACAUAUCAACUCAAAAGGUAACAAAAUCAAACUAGACCCUGACAAAAACGAGCAUAUAUUUUUUAGAAAUGUUGAAUUUGUCUAAUCCUCCCCAACCAAUUAACAAAACUUAGUAUACUGAACCAAUUAACUUCAAUUAUUUCAAACUUGAUUGAGAGGAAGAGAAUCAUAAACUACAAAAACUGAGAUUCCAAUUCUUGGGAUGUGACCACCAACUUUAAGUUGGUGAUUAAAUUAUCUACUUUUGCUAGUCUUUUUAGCUAUGUUUAAUAACUCAUUAAUCAUUUGAUUUUAGAUUUAAUAAUCAUAUAUAUUAUGAAUUUUGUCAAAUUGAACUUUAACUCACAAGAACUCAACAGUAAUUAGUAUAAUCGAAUCUUUGCCGUAGAAAAUUCAAUUUCACACUUCCACAAUUGUAGUAUAAAAAAGAAUACAAAUUUUUUAUCUUGUAUACUAAUGGAAGCUUUUAAAAUUCAAGAAUCUUUUUAACAAAGGGUUUUAGAUUUUUCUCAAACAUAUAACUCCCAAAGUUGAAAUUCUUUAGGUUUGUUUAAAGCCCAAACUGAUAAGAUGAUCAAGACACCAUUUAUGCUAAAUAUAUGAAUGUAUGCAUAUGUAUAUAUUAUAUUUAUGGGUGCAAUCUUGGUCUGACCUUGAAUCUACCCUCAUUUAGUUACAAUUAAAUUCUUAUAUAUAAAGAGAUUCGUCGGCAGCCGUUGAACAACAUAUAUUCUAAUUCUUGUAUUAAAAAGAAAACAUAAAACUUUUUCAAUUUUGGAAUUUAAUUUCGAAGCAUAAAAUCUGACAACCUGGUUCAUAUCUUUCAAUAUAGUGCAUACAUACAUUGUAUGUUUCAACAAAUUCAAACUCUAUACUAAAUUAAAUUAAUGUAUAUAAAACAACCCUUUUUUCAUUUUAUGUAUUAUUUAUUAAUGUAUAUAUAUAUAUAUGACAUAAACUCAUAAUUUUUUCUUUUUCUUUUGAUUUCUUUUUCUCAAGAAAAUAUAAAGUUUAAGGAAAAGGUGAGAGUAAAUUUAGGAAGGAAUUCCACUUAAAUUAAUCAUAUUAUUAGUCCCUGUCUUGGAAAUGAGAGACAUUAGAAGAGAAAUAUAUUUCCCAAUGGAUAAAGCUAAGUUGUACAUCCAUAUACUAAAAUAAAAAAUCAACUUUGGUAUAUAAUUAUUUAAAAUCAUACAAACAUGUUUUUUUUUUCUUCAUUUCUAUCAGUUAAUGAAAAUUUCCAAAUUAGGAAACAAAGUGGCCACAUUGAUAAAAUGAACGUACAACGUACUCUCCCCUUAAAAGAUUUGGUUUCAUACACCAAUGAACCUUGCUAUCAUUCACAUCCUACAAUUAUUCAGAACAUCUAACAAUAAACUAUAUGUUCAGUUCUGUAGUUUGUGUAUUUCAUACUUGAUCAUCAUGUCCCCACAAUAUUGAAAUGUUUGAUCAAUUUAUUUGAGUUCCAAUUGUUAUUUUGUUCACACUACGUAAUAAAUAAUUAACUACAUUUUAAAAUAUGAAAGUUCAUGAUUUGUUCCUUACCCUUGUGUUAUUUUAAUGAACUCGGUAAGAAAUUGGGAGCUCGGAUAGGCUUUACAUUCCUCAACGAAUCUGGAAAUUUGAAAGUGCGUUGACAAAAUCCAGUUAACAAAGAGACUAUCAUUAUUGUAAGUUGUUAAAAAUAGUGUUCAUAUUGGGAAUUGUUCGUCAAAUCUCAAAAAAAUAAAUCAAAACAGUGAUUUUCUUUUCCCAACAAGAACUAAAGUGUUGCAAAUUUCAUAGUACAAAAGCUAAUGUACUUGGCCACAGAUUUGAGUGUGUAGAUGCUAAUUCAUUGCUAGAGACCGAAAGUGUGUUUAAGUUUUAAACCAUUAAGAACUACUCUCAUGAUCAAAACUCAGUACAUAACAAAAACAAAAGAGAACCCCAUAAAUAGAAUAGUUUUUCUAAACUGAAAUUAAAAAACCAAGUGAUUUACCAUCAAGAUCCCAAAUCAUUUGCUUGGCCAUUUGGCUAAAUACCACAGCUCUAUUUUCUGAACCCUUCCAUGAAUUUCAAAAAUAUCAAAUAAAUGAAGUGUGUAACUUACCCUAUACAUACAAUGGCAUUCAAGAGCUCAGUACUUAGAGAAAACUUGCAACUGAGAAGCGUAUGUAACGAUAAUCUCACAUCAAAUUGACAAUAUGAUUCAAUCAGGAGUUGGGGAAGAGUAACAAAUGCAGUUGUCUCAUAAAUGAAUAAAAAUGCUGAGAAUACAAUUUGAUCACGAGAAACCAGGACUCGUGGAGGAACAAUGCUGCAAAUAAUUUAUAUCUCGACCCCGUUAUAAACAAAAUAACAAAAAUCAGGAAAAUGAGAGGUCAAGAUCUAAAGUUGCCAUUGAGAUAAGAUAAGAAAGCAGGAAACAUAUUAUUAACUAAAAGGGUCCACGUCCACCAAUCCAUAACUUGGUCUGCAUAACAAAGCAAAGCAAACGUACAUUGAUCCAGAGUUGUAGCAUGCACUCGUAAGUUCUAAAAAUAGUUAUAUUAUAUCCACUACUAUCAGUUAUAAGCUGCUGUAAACACAAACUUGAUGGUUUUUAGAAACCGUGAAUCUUGAUGUUUUCCUUCUUCACAAUACCAGCCUAUCAAUGCAGAAAAAGAGGAGCAUAUAUCAAAAACGAUUACCGAACAAAUAUUUAAUAUCUAUUUAUAGUCAACCAUUACCUGCACAAGGAAUGUAGACACAUUCUUUCUUUGGUCUCCCUGAAGUUGUAUAACCUGCAGGGCAACAACCGUUACACACGAUGUAAUUGAUUGGCAUGGCAUAUUGUCUGAUAUUCCAGAAUAGGAAACAAAGAAAGAAAAGCAUGUUCAUCCAAGCAGUCCUAAUAUCUUGUUAUAUGCAACAGUACCAAUAACACCAUAUAGAUUCUUGUUCAUGAUAUGUAACCAAACCACAACCCAUAAUGAAAACACUCCCUGCCGAUAGCUUUAUGCCGAAUGAAACCAAUUGACUGCCAACUGACUGGCAGAUCAAACUUCCCAUGAGUUGGUUCUUUAAACUCUUUUUUGCCUAGAUAGAGCAGCAUUGACAUUAUAUUAAUCUUGCACCCUCAAUUGUUCUAACAAUAAUCCCUACACCAACCUUCUCUCCACUUUAUAUAAAAUUGGAAACUAAUUCUUUUAGUUCUAAUGUUCGGUGAAUCAACGAAAAAGGGAGGAGCUAAAUAUAAAUAAUUAAGGGUAGAAGAGGACAACAGACCUGGCCUAGCUCAGGGUCUUGAACAACUGUGCCAUUACAGCAAAAUUCCUUCUUCAGGUCCUUAAGAAUCUUGUUAUAACUAAAUUCCUUCUUCAAUCCUUGAACAGUUGUCAGACUUUUUCUCCCGUUGCGUUGCUGUAUGCGCACAUGAACAUACUCUUUUGCUCCGGCUCCUGAGUCCUCAGCAUUUGCAUCAGCAAAUGGGUCUAACCAUCAAACCAAAUUCAUCAAAGUUAGUUAAAACGAACAUUCAGGCUUCUUAUACAGUACACAACACACUAAAAGUAAAAACAAAGAAGAGGGACUUGUGAAGGUACCAAAAGCAGAUGGAAUCUGCACGUUGAAUUCAGACAUGAAACUUGGCUGUCCGGAGUAGAACACAGGUAACCAGCAAAAGCUUUGAGCUCUUAAAUUCAGCUGCUCUAAACUGCAAAACAUAACAGGCCCACAGAGUUGAGUGUUGAAAGCACAUGGAUACAAAAAAACGCCUAAACUCGUCCAAAAUCAAUAAAAAGAACAUAAUCCACCCACGCCCUACUUUAAAUCUUUGAUCCACUGGAUCCCCACAUCCCACCAUAGACUCCCUUUCAAACAAAGAUCAAAAGAGCACAGCCUCAACAAUUAAAAAAAAAAAAAAAAAACCAAAGUUGAGUCUCUUUUACUAUUAUCUCCAAAUCGAAGAAAACUAAACGAUCUACAAAGGGAUCGAACAAUUAGAGUGAAAAAAAAACCCCAUAUAUCUGCUCCUCUCCAAAAAAACCAGACAACCAAUCAUGUGUUCAACCUAAAUCAUAUGUCUAAACCGUUUGUUUCUUAAAAUCACAAGGCGCAUAAAGGACAGAAACCACGCAAUCGAACAGAAUAACAAUCAAACAAGGUAUCAAGUCAUCAAUCCGAAAACAUGAAAACACUUACACCCCCGGAAAGCAAACGGAUCUUGUGGUUCGAUCCCAGAAACAGAAAAGAGGAAUGAAUACAAGCAACAACAAAAAAAGAAAAAAAGAAAAAAAGAAAAGAAACCCUAACCCAAAAAAUGAAAAGUAUGAAGAAAGAAAUAGGUUGAAAAAGAAAAGAAAAGAAAAAGGAAAUAAAUUAUGGAUGAAUGAAAAUGAAAAAUAGAAGGAUGAACAAGAAUUUUUACCAGGAGAAAAAGGUGUGAAUCCGAAGAAGAAGAGACGUAAAAGCAAAGGAUGGAAGUCAAAAGGAAGGUUAUAUGUGUGAGAGAAAUUUUGCAAGCCACACAAACCUCUAUUAUAUCGAUAUUAGUCGGUUUUGGAUUUUCUUUUCACGGUCCAGAUGACACAACAAUCAACUUCAUCCGACGGCUCAUCAUCUUUGUCCUAAAACGACGUCAUUUUCUUCCUUUUUCUAAAUUUAAUAUAUUAUCCUCCAUUAUUAGCGUGGAAUAGACGUAGUGCUACAUUCUGCUCGAUCAAAUCCGAACCCAGCAAAAGAAACACACAGAUCUACCAACCAAUCAGCUGGGUUGGUUCGGUUUGGUUUUUACAUAGUUGAUCGAACCAAAUUUUAAAAUAUUAUCUUCCAAUAUUUUACUUUAACUCACAUCUCUAUCUAUCUAAACAGAUUUUCCUAAAAUUUAUCUUUUAUCUUCGUCUCUUUCUUAUUAUAUUAAAAAGCAGAUUUGUAGCUUUUCCCUAUUGCCCUUCACACCAAUAAUGAAUCACGUUCCUAUAUUUUUCUUUUAAAAACUCUUCUUGGAUUCAACUUCCUUCCUUGUGAUCAUAGUAAAACUUUUUCCAAAUCAAUCCAUGAAUAAAAAAUAUACAAAAUAAAAAGAUUGUCUUUCUCAAGUAAUUCUUUGAAAUUUGUCCCAUUUUGAUGCUUCACAUGGAAUUGGAUGUCAAUUUUCUUUCUUCCACUUUGAUUUGAUGCCAGUGGAAUACAAUUCAUUUUCACAAGGAACUGCUUUUGAAGAUGCAACCGCUCUCCAACCAUUUAAGUUUGAGAUUUUUUUUAGAAAAGCAUAGUAUUUGUUUGGCACGUUAGAUUUGGUUUGUUUAAAAUAUGUGUACAUUUGGCUUCUUUCACUUAUAUAUUUUUCUUAAAUAUACAUCUGAUUUUUGGAGCAAAAUAAACUUUUGGUUCAUUAUAUAUAUUUAAGGUUGUUGUUUAUUUUCUUAAUAAUUUGGUUUCUAAAAUUUUAAAAAUACAUUUUAAUAUCUAAGUUUGAAAAAGUGAUAUUAAUUUUUUAUAUGUUUUUUCGCACCGUCAAAUAUCUACUCUUUUAUGGAACCAAUCAAUUCUGACACUCAAUUUCAACCCCAAAAUGAUUUGGGAAGAACGCAUUCAAGUUAGCAAAAAGAAAAAAAAAAUGAUAGGAGAGGAAUGAAGAGAGAAGGAGAGGUUGUGAAGUUUGAAAGGAAAACAGAGGAAUUUCAACACAAUUUUGUUGUAUGAAAAUUCUUUUCUUUAACUAAAGGCAGUACGUGUAAUUCUAUAACCACGGAUCAUUUUGAGAACUGUUUUCUAAAUUUCGUUGAUUAAAUUUUACUACCACAUAAAGUGUAUUUUAUUCAUUUGAUUUCUUUCACCUAUAUGUAUUUAAUAGUAAAAUGGCACAAAAUUUGAAGAUGGUUCAUUUUUAGAUAUACUUCUAUUUUAUCCUUUAAAUAAAACUUGCAUUCAAGGCCAAAUCACAAAGUGGACAAUCAAAAUACACUUUUUUUAAAAACUAAAAUCACUCUUUUUUGUAGCUACCUUCUACGUACGAAACAUAUAAAUAUACACAAAAUUUUAUAUUAUGACAUAUUUGACGAUGAAAAAAGGUAUAUCUUAUUUUUCUAUAUUUUAAUUUGGAUACAUGUUUCAAAAUAUAUCAAACUUUUUAUGGAAGACAUUUUUUAGAAUUAAAAAUGUUUCAUAAGGUAUGUCAUCUAUAUUUUUUAUUUUCGUGUAUAUACAUUUGUUUGCAUUAUGUUCUUUUUCUAUAAUUAUUAAAUUCUAUUUUUUUGUUAACAGAAGCAAAAAAAUUUAGUUAAACAAAUAUUUUUUAAAGAUUUUAAGAAGAAAAAAAAACAUGAUGAUUAUUUGGGAGGCUUUUAAGUCUUUUUAAAUUAUUGAUUAGGCUAUUUUAAUAACAUCAAAGUAUUAUUCACUUAAUAUAAUCAUCUUAUUAAAUAUUUGUUAAUAAAGAAAUCACAAUCUAAGGUUUAUAUAUAUGCUUAUGAUUGACUGUAAACUUUUGGAGGGAUUUCAAAGGUAAAUAAAUUUUUUGGAAAAGAAAUUUAGAUAAUAAUUUUUAUCUUAGGUUGCAGAUAAACCAUAAAACAUAUGAAAAUUGCAUCAAUUUAUGCAUAAAAAAAUCGUAUAUGAAUUAGUUCCGAUUCCUAAGGUGGUUAAUUCAUUCUAUUGGUGUGAAAAAUCAUAUCAUCUAAUAUCAAAUAUUGAAUAAUGGAAUAAUACACUUCAAUGUCAUGAGAAAUCAUAAUUAUGAUAAGACGAAUGUUCUUAUACCUUUACUACCUUAUUGUUUUAUUUUUCUAAAUAAGAUUUUAGAGGAGAAUUAAACACGUGUCAUGUUUUUAUUUGAGAAUUAGUAUACAAUAAUGAUUAAAUUUAUUCUCAUAAAUCUAAUUGAGAUGAUCUAAUUUGUUGUGAAAAGAAGGAAGAAUUAGACCUUUUAACCUAGUACUGUAAACAAGAAUUCGGGUUGUACUAUAACAAUCUAUAAAGUAUUUUAAAAUAACUUUAACUUAAUUUCACUUUGAAAUCCUGUUGAUUCAUGAGGUUAGUCAAUAGACAAGAAAGUAUCAAAUAAUCGCAUCAUUUUAAAAAUCUAGAAACCAAAUACAUUUUAAAAUUUAUAGAUCAAAUAUACGAAUCCUUUCCGAUUAACUACAUAAAUUUUGUAUUAAAAUAAUAUAUUAUGAGAAGGUAGGGAUGCAUUUGGACAUUAGAAUAGAGAUCAUAUUGAUGAAAAAAUGUGGUUAGGGUACAAUAUAUAUAAAGAAAAAAGAAAGAUAAUUAGAGGUAGAUUUAGAUUGUAUUAUUAAUUAGGAAUUGAAUACAAUAUAUAUAUAGAAAAACAAUUUAUGUGAAGAACAUAAAUCCCGGAACACCACACACCACACCCAUUUCCAAUCUUCAACCUAACCACCGAAAAUGCAGCAAUUAUGAACAAAUUUACCCAUCCUUUAAUUUUUCACUUUCUUCUCUUCCUACUAUUAUCACUAAAAAUAUUAAUUAUGUCAAUAUUAUUAUUCCAUCAUAAUUAAUUUUAAAUCGUAUGUGGCGGAUGUGAUGAAGUUGGUGGUGCAAAAUUUGACUGGCUCUUUGUUCUUCGUGGAGGUUGAAGACGAUGCCACUGUUUCUGAUCUUAGAACUCAAAUCAAUGCUCAUCCUCACCAACACAACCUCCCUUCUCACCGUUUGAUCUUCAUUCCCGACCACAAUCCCGAACGUCUCAUCUCCCAGGUCGAUGAUGGAAUCUCACUCGUUGAUUUUGGCUUACGUGAUGGCUCCCACAUUUACAUCUUUUUCUCUCCCCUUCAUGACGACGAUGGUGAUGACAUUGAAGCUCGCCGAUUCUUCUUUACUUCUUCUUCCGAUCUUCUUCUCUUCUAAACUUCUAUUAUCAUCAUCAUUCUAGUAACCCCCACCCCCGCCUUUCUCCUCUUUGUAUGAUCUAUGAAAAUUAGGGUUUUUUCUUUUCCUUUUUCAGAUAUUGUAUUUAUAAUUUUCAACUCAUUUUUGUACUACAUCAUACACAAUUAAUUCUUUAUUCAUCGGUUGAAUUAUUGUGGGGGUGAAGGUAUGAGAAGUUACGUUUUGUUUUAAUGUUAUUUAACACACCAAUAUGUCAAUUUGGUUACUCUAUAGGAAUUUUUGUCCAAUAUUUCACAUGGUUUUGUUUUGUUUUUUCGUUUUUGAAUAAAAACAACCCAAAUAAAUUUUAAAAAGAAAAUCAACAAACAUAAUGCUAAUCCACUGAUCAUCUAACGAUCGAAAAUGGUGAAAAUUAUUUGAGCAUUCAUGAUUCAAAUCUCCCUAAUAAAAAAACAUUGAUUAUUUUAUACAAAAUUUCCAUACAAUUAUAAAUAAAAUCAUUAAUUUAUGAAAUGAAUUGAGGGAAUAAAAUUGUAAAUCACUCUUUCUAUCUAUAAUAUCUUUUAAACCACUUUCCAUUUAUGAAUUUAAACUAGUUGUCUUUUUAGUCUCAUAAAUAUAAUAAAACAAGAAAACAAAACUAGUAAAUAUAGGAAUUAAAAAAAAAAAGUGUUAUAUUAUUUUAGUUAGCUAUCUCAUUCUCAUCAUAUAUUUAUUUAUACAAAUGUCUUUAUCAAUAAAAUUCACCACGGCUAACGGUGCCUUUAAAAACAUAAAGAAAAUCGCCAUUUUCAACCCCAUGCCAUCUUAAACUACGCUUAUCUCUCAUAAUCCUUUGUUUAUGAAUAAACAAAUACUCAUCGUCCGGAAGAAUUUUUCCGGACAAAAGCAGUUCUCUGACGUCGUUCACGGUGCUCGAAUCCUUCAUUUCCAUUGGAAUGCACGCUGCAUUAAGCAAGCUCGACGACAUCUCCACCACGAAACUCACCUUCCUCCUUGAAGAAUCUUCGCUCAAAUAACGACUCAUCGUUUUCAUAAACACAAUCACUUCCGAAAAUUCACCGAUUCCGAAUUCGCUUAGGUUCUGGCAAUCCUCGACUAGUUCCAUACCGGAGUGAAAUAGCGACAUUGUUUGAAUCGGUAAGCUGUAGAUUAUCUGGAUUUUCUGCUUUAAACUAUGAACCGUCUCUGUUUUGUCGAUGUUUAUGUUUAUCCGUUGGCCGGAGAAUUCCACAGCGAUCGGAAACUCGUUUGAUGGUGCGAUGAUUUGGUCGACUGAGAGAUCGAUUCGCGAACCUUCUGUGAUGAAUUGAUCGUAAUCCUCCAUGACGAGUCCAUCGAGUAACUCGCAACCAUAAACAGAGAGAGUUUGGGAUUCGAUGGGGAUGCCAAUGAAUUGUUCAAUUUUUCUCUUGAUUUCGAUGAUUUGUUCUUGAUUUUCUAUAUCUAUGGGGAAUUCGUGUCCCAUUGUGACAAUGAAGAUCUUCAUUGGAGUUCUCUGGUUAGGGGUUUUUUUUUUUCCUUCCUAUUCCGUUCUUGAGAUUUGGGGGAAAUUUGGUUGUUGAAAGUGGAGAUUUUAUUGUUGGAAUUCAUGCAGAAACGAUGCUCGAUUCUUUUGAAGAGCGUGAUUGAUUUCAACUGACAGCAGAUCGAUUCUUGUGAUGAUGCCACUGAAGAUGAGAAACAGUUUUCUCUUUUCUUUUCUAUUUUUCUUCUUGGUUUAAUUUCACUCUUCGUAAUAUCAACGUUCAAUAAUUCAUGAUGCAUAACUUAACUUUACUGUUUGUGUUAAAAAAAAAAUUUCAAGAAAUUGAAACUUGAGUUUGUUAUUUCUAAAGUUACUCUACGAUUUUUGAAAAUGUUUUCUUUAAAACAUAGAGAAGAGAAAAGCAAUGAGGUUUUUUUCUUUUAUCUUAUUUUCCCUUUGAAUACACAUAUAUAAUAUUGAGAAAACAAAACCCUUAAAAUUAAAAAAACUAAAGAGGCUAUAUUUGCCCCCAACUAAUUUAACAAAAUAUAUAAAUUAUCCCAUCAAUAUUAAGAUUGAUGAUACCUCGAUUAUAUAAAGAACUUAGAGUUGUAAGAGGACUCGUCAACAUAAUUUAAUGACAUUUUCCUUUCUAGACAAUUGAAGAUAUAAUCAUAUAUUUUAAACAUGUUAUUAAAAAUAUACUAAACAAAUUAAAAUAGUAAUAAUAAUAAUUAAGAGAAGUUAAAAUUACUAAAAAAAUUAAUAAUAAUAACACUUGAAUAACACACUUUGGUAAUUGAACAAAAAAAAAAUCAUGUUUAUGACAAAAGAAAAAAAACAAGAAUUUGUUCGAUUACAAAUUAAAUUUUGAAACUUAACGGAUAAUUUUCAAUUGUAAAUUAGUUGUUGUUAUUAAUUUUAGAGUAAGCUUCAACUUUUUUUAAUUAUUAUUAUUAUUUUUUAAUGUAUUUUUUAAUAACAUAUUUGGUUAAUAUAUGUGUUUUUUUAAACAGAAAAUUAGAAAAAAAAAUAUAAUUUUGGUUAAGAAAUAAUUAAAUUAAAUUAGAAAAGAUGAAUUAAUAAGAAAAUUUGAAGAAUGAGAUAUUUAAUAUAUAUACAUAAAUAUUAUUAUUUCUAUUUUUAUUUGUUUAAUAUAUUUUUAAUAACAUAUUUUUGUUAAUAUAUGAGUUUUUUAAAAAAAAUUAAAAAUUGGAAAAAAGAUGUGUAAUUUUGAUUAAGAAAAAAUUAAAUUAAAGUAGGAAAAUAAAAAAUAAUUUAAUUUAAUAAAGAAAUAUAUUUUUAGAAUUUGAAUGUUCGAUAUAUAUAUUAUAUUAUAUGUUGGUAUGUAUAUAUAAGUAAUGGGAAAAAGUGAAAUGUGUGAAACCCACGUAUAUAAAUAAUGAAAAAAUAAAAAAUGUGGGGUCGUGGGAUCCACUGCAUGGAAGUCGUAUAGACCGUACACGAUUUCACCUUAAAUCACCUAUUUUUAAAAGUAAUUUUGUACCCACCCUAUUUUUUAUAUAUGUUUCAAAUUUUACAUUAUUUUUAUAAUAGAAUCAUAUCUAACAUACGAGAACAUAUCAUUUAAUCAGAUUUAACACAAUUUAUAAAAAAAUUAACUACAUUAAAUUACAUGACUUUUAGAAAAUAAACAUUUAUGACUCCCCUAAACCAUACUCUAUCUAGGUUGCCCCUAGAUCAUAUGACUCACAGUGAAUUCAAAUGCAACUUUUCUCUUUAUUAAUAAAUAUUAACUAACACAACAAUCAAAUCCAACUUCUUAUUUUUAUUAGUAAAUAUUAACCUAACAUAACAAUCAAAUCUAACCUCUUACAUCUUUAUUAAUAAAUAUUAACAAAAAAUACAUCCUCUUAUAGUUAUUAAUAAAUAUUAACUAUAAGGAUUUGAUUUGAUGCUUCAAUUUUGUCUUUAAUAAAAUAUCGACCCAAUCAACGAGUGUAGCUCUAUUACAUAGUCCAACUCCACCAUUAAAGGCAAAUGCACUUGCAAAAGUCAAGUUUUGUACAUGAAAUUUUAUAAAGAAUUAUUGAGAUUGACGUUCACUUUAUGUACAUGAGAAGGUAGUAAAUGGGCACUUGACGUUCACUUUGUACAUGACAAGGUACUAAAUGGACACUUGAAAUCUGCUAUAUGUUCCAUAAAGCAAUAAACUCAUUGCUUGUACAACAACGUCCAUGACACAUUCACAGUAUCAAUACAUUAGAACCAAACUCGGUGUGGUUGAAGCAUUCUCAAUAUCGCGUUGAGGGGGUAUUAAGGAAGAAUUCACACACACAAUCAGCACAAGCAAAGGUCAACAUUAUAGUCGACAAAGCCAAAAGCACAAUCAGCACAUUCCAUGAGUACGAUCCACUACAUUCGAAAAUAAUCGAAAAGCUUCCAUUAGUUAGAAAGAAAUUGACAAAAGUAGUACACUAUCGAUUUUUGUUUUUAAAAGUAGCCCAUUUCUGAAAUUAUAUAAUAGUAAAGUAGAGACAUUUUAAUAUUCCAACUUGAAUCGAAGGUUAAGGAAAUAUAUAAAUUAGACGUGUGAUUUAAUUUAAUUAAUUUUGUUUUUUUUUUUGGAAAGGUGAGUUUUGGGAGGAGAUAUUAUAAUUUAGUACUCUCUGAUAAGAAUUAUAAUAUAUACUUGACCCUCCUUCAUUCAACGAAAAAUAUACAAAAUAAUACUCCUUAUCAGUAAAAUGCAAAGCACUAUUUGAAAAACACUAAUACUAAUAUUCUUAACCAAAAUUGAAUCUCAAAAUAAAUUAAAUAAUCUAUACUAACUAUACUCUAUUUUAAUUAUAAAAAACCUAUUACAAGAAUAAAUUAUUCUUUAAAUACAUCCAUUUUACCUUUACAUCUUUGAUAUGGAUUUUUGUAAUUUGAAAAAGAAUAGAAGAUGAAAAAUGAUUUUGAUCUGAAAGGUCAAUAAAGAAGUUGGAAGAUUUAGUUACCUCUCACACACACAACUAUAAUGAUAUAUUUACAAUAGAUUUAACUUAGGAUUUAACCGAACCCUUCAAUGAUUAAGAUAUUAUUCGUUUUUUCUAAUACCAAACAAGGUACAGAAAAUUCACCCACACCUCAAGUCAAAGUAGUAUAAUUAUCUCAAAUACGAAUAUGAGUUAGAUCAUAGGUAUUAAACAGUUGACAAUCACACAUUGUAGUAAUUUUAUCUUCGAAUAACUACAAUGGUUUGUGAUUGUAAAUCUUUUUUAAUUUUGUUUCUAUGUAUAGUAUAAUAAUCUAAAAAUUUCAUGUGCCCAUCCCACGUUAUGGAUCAGUAACAAUAAAACAAAAAAGAAAGAAAGAAAACAAUCAAACGAAACAUACAUCAUCUAAGAAUGUUUUAUAAUCAAAUAACAUAAUUAAUGAAUUUAAAACAGUAGUUUCUAUCUAAACCGAAUGUCAACCCUUUGAUCCAUUAUUAGACAUUUUCUUACUUGAAUUUUGUAAUAAAUAAUCACCAACUUGAUUACGUGCCAUGCAGAAUUUUUUUAAAAAAAACUCUCACCCUCUAAUGAUUUUCUCAAUUACUCCACACACACUUCUGUUGAUUAAAUUAAUCCCAUUAUUAAAAAAGUUUCCUCCGAAAAAAGUUAAAAAGAAAUUGAUCAUAAUAUCGAGCUGUUUAUUGGCUAAGUUUGUACGUGCCAAUAUUGUUAGUUAAUAUGUUUUCUCAGCACUUCUUCGCAGUACUGUGGCUUUGAUCCAUUCUCAUAGCUGACCAAACACAACUUAAUUCUCAUUAUUGCUAAUUAGGUUUAUCAAUAAUUCCACAUUCUAUUUUAUAACAAUAAAAUGUUUGGAUUAAGCUUGUUUGAUUAUAACCAACUUGGUUUUUAAAUAUAUCAAGCUUUAUAUAGAUAGUACUUCCAAUUGUUUUUUAAAUAAAAUUAAUUAGAGUAGUUUUUUUUUAAAAAAAAAUUGACUAAAAGUCAAUUAUUUAAUUCAAAAUGUGAAAACAAACUAAAAAAGAUUUUUCAGAAGAAUGGCCUAGUUAUUAUUGUUUUAGAAAAUAGAAACAAAAUAUAUAAAAUUCAUUUGUAUGUUGCUAUAACUAAUACAAAAAUGUACGUUAAAUAUAAGAAAUAGAUAAAAAAAAAAAAAACUAUAUGUGAAUCUCAUUCAAAUGUUCAAGAUAACUAAGAGCGAAGAGGUUUGGUAUUCGAAUUUUUUAGGUACCCAUAUGGUCAAGUUGAAAAAAGAAAAUCUUAUUCGAUAAAAUAUCACUUUUCUUUGUUUUAUUUGUAAGAAUGUUAAUUAACUUUGUUUAUUCAUAUAGUUGCUUGCUUUCUUUUAUAUUGUACCAAAAAAAAAUUAAUUCGAAGAUGACGUAAGUUAUUUUAAUUGGUUGUUUUUUUUUUGUUGAUUUUUUCUUAUAAAUAUAACACAAAAAACUAAAUAACUUAAAGAUAUAUAAACGAACCUUAGGGGAAAAAAAAGGUAAAUAACUGAAUAACAAGUGAAGUAUAUAAACCAUAGCAAAGAUUUUUUUUUUUUAUAUAUAUAUUUUUCUAAAGGAAUGUCUAAAAGUCAAAAAUGUUAUUUUAGUUAAAGUCACUUAGCUUCCAACGAAUCAAAAUUAAAUUAAAUUAUAAAAGAACCUCUAGAGAUCAGAAGAAAAGUCAUAUAUGACAGAUUGUAAUUCAUGAACUGUUCAAACUUCAAACACUAAAAUUUCCACUAUAAAAAACCCAACCAUCUUUGAAUGCAAUCAUCAUUAUAUCUCAAAACAUCAUUUAAGUGUCUAUCCAAAGCCAUAUUUUGUCUUCUUUUCUUCGUAUAGAAUUACCAUGGCCAUUACUCCAAAGCUUUUCUUCCUUCUCCUUUUGCAGCUAAUAUUUGUAUCAACAUCUCUCUCAAACAUCGCCAGAGCAAAUGAGUUGGCGGUUGGGUUUUACAAGAAUUGCUGCCCUGGGGUGGAGUAUAUCGUCGCCAAGACGGUGGCUCAAUAUGUUAAGAAACAACCAGCAAUAGCUGCUUCUUUGUUGAGGAUACACUUCCAUGACUGCUUUGUUAGGGUAUAUAAGUAACUAUAUACUUUUUGUUUUUUUGACAAUGAAUUGGCAGUGACAAGGAACACUAAGACACUUUUAUUUAUAUAUAUAUAUAUAUAUAUAUAUAUUGAUACUUUUAUUUAUCUAAAUUUAUUACCAUUAAAAAAUGAGAAAGUUAAAUAAGAGAAAACUCACUUGAUUGAUCUGAUAAUUAUUUGAUAGGGAUGUGAUGGUUCAGUGCUGCUAAAUUCCGGACCAAAUAACCAAGCUGAGAAAGAUGCCAUUCCCAACCUUAGUUUAAGAGGUUAUAAUGUUGUUGAUGCCGUUAAAGCUGCCGUUGAAAAGCAAUGUCCUGGUGUUGUUUCUUGUGCUGACAUCCUUGCUUUGAUAGCUCGUGAUGCUGUUAGAAUGGUAAUUUACAAAUUUAUAUAAAGGUUCUUUAUUUUUUUAAUUUUAAAAUGUUGAUCUAAAACUAUAACUUUAGACACGAACCACAAAUAAUGAUAUUGAAUGUUAAUUUUUUUAAGAAAUAAGACUUAGAAAAAGAUGUGAGCUGUGAUGAUUUGAAAUCCUAACAACUUUAAUUUCUAUAGAGAUCAUGAAGGAGUGAGUUUGCAUGUUAAUGUAAAAUCUAAAAAAUGGAUGUUGGAAAAUCCCAAUACUCUACUAUUAAGCAAUUAUUAACAACUUAUAAUAUUAAGCAAUUAUUUCUAGAAGUUUACUUUAAAAAAAAAAUAGUUUUUUUUUUAUAAAAAAACAAUGUUAAUUAAAUAUGUUGACGUAGGAGAAUAUUUAUAAUUAUUUAGAAUUGAAAAGAGAAAAUUUAUUUAGUUAUUUAUUAUUAAUUUGAAAAUAGAGUGGAGGCCCAGCUUGGGAAGUUCCAACGGGAAGAAGAGACGGAACUGUAUCAAUCUCACGAGAAGCAUUGAUUAAUCUGCCUCCUCCUUUCGCUAAUAUCUCUUCUCUCAAAUCAAGUUUCCAAUCCAAAGGUCUCUCCCUCAAAGAUCUUGUCGUUCUAUCCGGUAAGUUCUUUCUUCAACACUCUCAAUGAUUUACAAUUUCCUUUCGAUAUGAUUACGUUGAUUUUAACACACUUCAAUUUGAUCUUCAGGAGCACAUACAAUCGGAGUCUCUCACUGUACCUCUUUCUCCAAUCGCCUCUACAAUUUCACCGGCAAAGGCGACGCCGAUCCCAAACUAGACAAAUACUACGCGGCCGCACUCAAGAUCAAAUGCAAACCAAAUGACCAAAAAAAAAUCGUCGAGAUGGAUCCUGGAAGCUUCAAGACCUUCGAUCAAAGUUAUUACACACUCGUUUCCAAGAGAAGAGGAUUGUUCCAGUCUGAUUCCGCUCUUCUCGACGAUCCUGAUACUAAAGCCUACGUUCAGUUUCAGUCUAGUACACGUGGCUCUACUUUCGCCGCCGAUUUCGCUAAAUCCAUGAUUAAUAUGGGGAAUAUCGGCGUUCUCACCGGUACCGACGGUGAAAUUAGGCGCCGGUGUGGUUUUGUUAACUGAAUUAUUGGGGAAAGGAAAUGGGUGAAGCGUUCUUUGCAGUUUGUGAAGCUUUUUCUUUGUGCAUUUUGAUUUGAUUCGAAUUGUGAGCUGAGUUUCAUGUUUUCGCUCUCUGUGGAAAACAACGUACGGUCCUGAUUUAAAUCUUCAGUUAUCUUUUGUCCUUUCUUUGAAAUACGUGUUAUCAUCUUAUCAUGUGAUUAAAUCCAAUUUAUUCAAUUUCUUAAAUGAAGUUCAAAUCUUGAGUUCUUCUAUUUUUAAAUAUGGAGGGUCUAAUUAUAAUAAAUUGUUCUUUAAAAUAAUUUAAAAUUUUUAAAUAUAAGUAUAAAUGUUGAUAUACUUUGUUACAAUAUUAUCAUUCAUUAAUGAUAGACGUUAGUAGAUAUUCAUACAUGUCUAUCAAUAUUUAUGGCUACUUAUUAAUGACAAAUUGAAAAAUCAUUUUAUAGUUGUAAUUAUUUUCUAACAAUUUUUUCAUUUAAAACAAUAUUAGUAAAAACUGCUUUGAUUGAUUGAGAUGAUAAAAAAAGUUGACAACGUAUAAUAAAUAUGAACAUCGAUACCAAUGAUAUGAAAUUUAAUUUACAACACUAUCAUCUCUUAUAUUUUGGUUAAAUCUCGCUUUGAUGUUCUAUCAACGUGUAUAUGUAAAUGAUUUGUAUUGACAAAAAAAUUAAACUCAACAAUUGUUUAAAAUUGUUUAGUGUUACACACACAUAUAAUUUAUGUAGAGACUAAAACAACUAAUCUAAAUAUAUAUAAACUUUAAGAUAUAUCUUCAUUCAAAAUGUUAAGAGUUGAAUCCAAAUAAUAUUCUUCCAACUACUUACGAUAACUACCUAAAUUAUGUAAGAAAAUAUAGAGAUAUUUUGUAUGAAACAAAUAAUUAUUAUAUCACUAUAGCUUUAUUCAUAAUUUUAUAUUGAUAUUGCAUAAUCCAUAUAUGAUUAAAUUUUAGUACACACCUCCCCAACUUAAGUAUAAGUAAAAUAUUAAUUCAAUUAUUUUACUUAAAAUGUUAAAGAGUACUAUUAAAUUAAUUUUGUAUUGGGUUUUAAUAAUUGAAAUCAUUUAUAUGGAGAAGAACGUAAAUCGCUAUUUGGGCAUGAAUUGUAUAUAAGAUUUUUUGAAUAUGGAGAAGCUAAAAUUUAGAAUACUAAGCGACAAAACGAGAAAAAAAGAAAAACUCCAAUUAUCCGUACACUUAAAAACCCGCCAUUGCUUUGCGAGGAAGGAAGAAAGAAGAGAGCGAGAAAAAGAAAAAAGAAAAAAGAAAAAAGAAAAAAGAAAACACAAAGCAGCAACAAAAAAGAGGAGAAAUAAAACCCCUACGGUGUUCGUCCAAGCGGUCGGCGUUUUGCUUCGGAUAGUUCAUGAAGUUCAACUCGUGCAAUUUUACAAGCCGUCCAAUCUGUUCUAUUCUACUGUUUUCUGCGUGUUUCCUGAUUAUUAUCAAAUCUCUAUAAACGGAUUUCAUCGUCUGAACUACUCCAAUUUGGUUCCACAUCUAUUCUUUCUGAUUCGUCCUUGCAUUUACAAACCGGGAUUACUGCGACUUCCAAUACAUACGUCUUCUCUGUUUUUGUUCAUGUUCAUCCAUGAUGGUUGGCCGUAAACUCUUCAAAACAAAGCUAUGUGUUCUCUAUCAGAAAGGUUACUGUUCUCGCCCAAGUUGCUCCUUCGCUCACGGAAACGCUGAACUCAGGCGAUUUGCUGCUCCUUCUAUCGGUAAUUUGCCCCUUAUAACUCCACUUUCGUCUCGUCUUCUCUAAUUUUGGGCUUUAGGGUUGAUGAAAUGGAAAUUUGCUAAUCCUUGUCGUUUAUGUCUUUAUUCCUCAUCUCUGAUUGGAAUUGGUUUUGGUUACGCGUCGUUGAUUAUUCUUACAUUCAACGCGAACAGUGGCAUAGUGAUGGUAUUAUGUUUUUGCGUUUUUUUUUCUUAGUAUUGGUGUGAUUCAAGGGAUCUGAGUUUAUUUGCUUGGGAGAGGUAUAGACUAAUUUUGGACUGAUGGUGUUUUUUUCUUCCUUUAUGGUCUUCUUGUUAUUAUCAAUGUUGAGGACUUAAUUUAUUGCAUUUUUUUUCUCCUAUUAAUCUCUGGUCGUCGUACUCUUUCUUCUUUCUGUCUGUUAUUGAUUCUUCCUUAUGGUGCAUUGUGAGGGAGGGGCCGUGCAUCUUUAAAAUGGGCUAGCGCUAGACAUUAAUUACUAGGUUCUUUCGGUUAAUCAUUGAAACUAUUCUGUCUGCUGUGUAUUUAUAGCUAUACGAACACAAUCCCCCUCAUCUAUGGCUCUGUGGUUUGGUAUCUUGUUGCUUGCUAUCUUCGAUAUUUAAAUUGGUUCUGCUCAAGUCGUCACAUGAGACUCCACGCCUCUACCAAUGGAUAUUUAUUAUAGAUGGACGUUGAAUGAUUCCAAUAAUGCGAGAUGUAAAAAAUUUCUCCAAACUUGCAUGGUUACCGAAGUGGCUAGUAAAAAAUAAUAGUCCAGAUCAGACGAUUUUCAUUGGACUGGCAAUGGAUAUGGUGGAUUUUUUCUCUAUUGAGCUGCCCUGUGGUAUAUCUCUGGAGAUGUUUAUGGCCCUUGUGCUGCAUCAGCUAAUCCAGAAAGUACUUGUUGAAGAUUAUAAUUAUUUUCCAAAAUUUAUACAUCUCCCCCAGUUUUCGUUUAAUUAUCCCAUUACGAUCUUCUGGGUUAUGCUACCGUUGUUCAUGGGGCUUCCUUUUUCUUAGGAGAGGUUCUUCAUUUCUUUAUGCCUCCUGAGUAUGCCAAAGGACUUCCUCUUGGAGUAAUGCAAUUUUUAUGGGAGUAUUGCAUGAAGAAUCAAAUUUGAAUCUAUAUCAUUGGUCUGUACUUGUAUGAUUGUGUGGAAACUCAGAGAUAUCUCCCUUUUGGAUCAAUGUUACGUGAACUUAUUGUUCAGCAUGGUCACGGGAGUGAAAUCCUUCCUUCUAUUCUCGAUAUGAAGGUUAUCCCAUGGUUUAUUGUUGGGCAUGGAUUUUUCUAUAUCUUUUCAUUAUUUCUGUGGAUCUUUUGGAACUGGCAUGGCGGCACUCUUACUGUUCCUUAUUUUGUUUCUCAUCUUUUCCAUGUAAUGGUAAGAUAAGCCUUGUAAGAACUUCAUUGAUUCAUUAAUUGCUUUUUAGAAAUAAUAUGUUGCAGCAACUAACUUGGUAAAAUGAAUUUUCCCCAUCUUUGCAGGUAGAACGGAAUAUAGAGGAAAUGAUUUAAGGCAUAAGCUUGACAGCAGGCAUUCUCCCCUACAGGAAAGGGAUUCUAGAGGGCGACAUGUACCUCGUGGUAACGAAGUCACGUGUUUUUCUUUUUGAUCUUUCAUUGUUUACUUUUUUUUAUUAAGGAAUUGUAGGAAGCUAGGUUCUCAACACACAUGCACACUUAUGUUUAAAAGAAUAUAUGGACUGCAUAAUUCUUUUACAUGUUAUAAUAGCAAAGUUCUUCCCUGAUUUCUUUCAUUUUGUAAUUGAAAUUGCAGAGUAUAGCUCAUCUUGGUCACUCGAACGGCAUAGGUAUACUGUCACAACUCUUGUAUGGUAUUCUCAAGUUAUUUUUGAAUUAGUUCUAGCAAAGGAAGGGUAGGAAGUGAUUCUGUGAUGGAAUUAUGUAUCAAGGGACAAAUUUUUAUUUGAAGUCCUUGCAAGGUAUGUUUAUGAGAUUUUUCUCACAGGAAAAUGGUCAUAUGAUACUGACGACUUUUUUCCUACAAGAGUACUUGUCUAUCUGUUUAAUAAGAGAUUACUUCCAGUGCCUGAUUCUAUUAUUUCUUAGCCUUACUUCUAGUUUUUAGGUUUGAAGGCCUUAUGUGCUGUAAUAUUUGUAUGGCCCGAGUUCUAUAUUCUACACCCAGUUAUCUUUUCAUGAGUACUGGCAUAAAAAAUUACUUCUUAGAAUAGUUUACCGGUGGAUACUUUGAAAUGGUACACACUCUUGUUUCAGUGACCGUAAGAGAAGGAAAAAGGAACAUGGGGAUGCCUCUCGCGAUUAUUCUGGAAAUUUGAGGAUUUUAGAUAGGAAUGAAGAACAUGACAGACAAGGGAAAAUCUCAUCUGUUUCUAGAGACACUCUUGAGGGGCAGGUACAGAAAACACUAUUGUUUUCUAACUUAGAUCUUCUGUAUAUUAGAAACGGUUACUCCCUGGAAAUCUUGGUUGACCAUCUUUGAAUUACACAGUUAAACAAGAUUCAGACAGAUAUUGAGAUGGCUGAGCAACGCAAACACCAAGCUGAGGUAGUAUUUUCUCUUUCUUUUAGUUGCUUUCAACCUCUAAUGUUGUGGAGGCAAUAGGUAAUAUAUAUUUCCUUUUUCCGUUCAUGUAUCAAGUGGGGGGAUUCCAAUUUUUUAAAAUUAAUCAACUCUUAAAAUAUUCUCCUUUAAGAUAGUGUUUUAUCAAAUUUUUUACUUGUAAGAGGUUUAAGGUGUUUAGUCAUUGAAACUCUGUGUCAUGUUGGUUGGAGUGAGUUGUACUGCCACUAGUCACAUUGGCACACAUUUUAAUGGGGUUUGUUUUCUCUCUCUCUCUCUCUCUCUCCUCCACACACACACACACACACACACACACACACAAUAGUGAAGGCAAAUGCCAGACAAUAUCAAUGAUGGAACAAAGGAAGAAUAUAUGCUAGCACCAUAACACCAUGGGUGCCUUUGACACAAACACACACACACAUAUUGUAUAAUGAAGGCAAAUGCCGUGGGGAAAUUUACCUUUUUAUACAAUUUGAAUGAUUAAACAAAGGGAGAAUAUACCCUAGCACCAUGGGUUGCCUUUGACAGCUAAGAAUAUCUUUCUGCUCAAAAUCCAUCGCAAUCGCAUCGCCUUAUCAAUUGACAGUGAUUGUUUAUCACUAGAAGGGAGAUUGAAUAAGAAAAUAGGUCUAGCAGAUGUCUUCCUUAAAAUCACAUUAAUCUAGAUUGGAUCCAGAACUUGGGAAAGAAUUACUGUAAAUUAAUGAGACGAUGAAAGGGCAAAAUAUGAUUUAGCACCACUGAAGUUGAUUGACAAUUAGAGUAACUACCAAACUAGGGUCAGAAAUUGUUGGAGGAAGGCCAUAGAAGUUGGAAGCCGUUGAACUUUGUCAACGAGCAACAGAGAUACAAAUGAAGGGGGUCAAGCAUACCAUACAUUCCUAAGCUGAAGUCAAAUUCAUAAACUGGAAGCUAAGAGUUGGGUGAGAUCUGGUUGGAGAUCUUAGAAUGCAGCAUGUAUUACAAUUUCUUCCAAUUUGAUGGCAUUUAACCUAGUUGUAUUAGCACUAGAUUGUCUCAACUUUUUUUAAAAAAAAAAGAGAAAAAAGAAAAAGAAAAAGAAAAUUUAAUGAAUAAAAACUUCAUGAAUGCUGUUGCACAAAAGGGGCUGAGGAUCAUUGAGGCUAUUGCAGUAAAACUCAUGAAUGCUGUCAUGGUUCCAACUAGAACUAGCAAUGAUUGGGAGGUUUUGAUUCUGCUAAGAGGGGAAUAACAUUAUCAUGAUUGAAACCGAAUACGUCUUAGUGAUUGUGAUUGGUAUGGAAGUGUUUUGAUGACAAAUGGACCAAAUGAGGGGUUGAAGGAUUUGGACUUUAGGAGCGCAAUUUGGGUGGGUAACUAGCUGUAGGGUUCAGACUCCUAACUACAAUGAGGGUUACUAAAUGGUGUUUGGUGUCAGAAAUGGUAAGAUUUGUGUCUAUUUUUCUUUUCCUUUUUUUUAAAAAAAGAAAAAUUGAGCAACCCUCAAACUUCCCUACCAUUUUGGUUGAAGCCUUUUGUGGUGCAUGGGCAAGAAGCCAAGAAUAAUGUGAGUGGAAUGAGGUUUAUUUAGAAUGGAUCAGUAAAAAAGAGGUGCAACCUGACUGAUUUCAUUUUUCUAGAUUGUCGUGAUAUUCAUCAAAUCUUUUGAGGCGAAAGUUUGUUAGGUCAGCCUACCCAUGGAGAUGCAUCGAUAUAUAUAAGAUAAUCAAGAAGAUGAAGUUGCUUGGGAAGUCGGACACAGGAGAAUUGGGAAGAAAAUCAUGCACAAGAGGAGGCCAGAUGCUGUAAUUGACAGGGUUACUAAGCUAGACUGUGAGCCAAAUGUUAAAAUCUUGUUAGAAAAAAUGGUCUGAUUCAAUGUUCUUCUGGUGCUUAUAUUAAGAGUCACAAUCCUGUGUUCAUCAACUAGGCAACAAGGCGAUGGGUGGUGCUUAUAUUAAGUGUACUUGUUGGUUAGUUAUGGAGUUGUAAUAAUCAGGAGAAGGCAUGGGUUUGUCAGGUAGGUAGAGAUUAUGGUAACAGUUUUUAGGAGUGAUGUAAUUCAAAGUAGAACUAAUUUCUCAAAUGAAUUCUCUGCCAAUAAUGGCUAAGAGAUGUGGUAUUUAUUAAGGCUUUGUAAGUUUGUUACAAAGUAGUUAUAAGGAAACUGUUUAGGAAACAGUUAAGUAUUUAACUGUUUUAACUAACUACAGCUGUCUUCUACUCUAACUAACUAUAGCUUUCUUUUAGCCUCAUUCCUAUUACAUCAAGGAGAGAAUUCAGCAUCUUGAUUGCAUACUAAAUCUUUGUAGUUACCUAUUUUGCAUUCAGGUUGACCUAAAGGUUAAAAUUGAAAAUUAGAGUAAGUAGUUGAUUCCUUAAUUCCUCUGAGAUGGUUGAAGCUGAAUCUCUCUUACAUGCGAAAGUGCUUUGUGCUGUCUAAUGUCAUGUGUAUUGUUGGCAUUUUGAUCGAGCUAUGCAUUCAAGAUAAUACAUAAAUAGAUUCUUCCAAUGAAAUGAUUCUAUGAAUAUAGAUUGAAGAUAUUAGCAAAAUUUUCUGUCUUUGAAGGUCUACAUGGACGAGAAAAUUCAAGAAGUGGACAGUUUGACUUCUAGAGUUCAAGAACUAGAAUCUCAAUUAUAUAAAGAGAGGCAGGAGUGUAGAAGGUACACGUUGUUGUCAUGUUUCGUGCUGAAGGUGGACACCUGCCUCUUAAUCCUACUUUUGUUGGAUCUUUAAUAUUCAGGAUCAAAUCAAAAAUCAAGAAGUUUGUCAAAGCACAUAAUCGUCACUCAAGAUUACAAGAUGAACUGAGUCGGCAAGUUUACUUGUUCUAUUCUUUUGAUUGCGUUUUCUAAUGGUGAUGAAUUUCAGGGAAUUAUGGUCACUCUUCUAUGUGUAGGUCGCAAGUCCGCCUGCAACAGUUGGGGGAUCAGCUGGGGUCAGAUGUUAAUAAAAUUGGUGCCAAUGAAGAAGACUCAAGUAUCAAUAUUGUGAGCGAUGGAGAGGACCCUGGUUAUCAUGCAUCUGACCCUUUUCAUGACCUUCAAAGAGACACUUCUGCAAGCAAAAGGAAGAUGCAUGAUGUUCAAGAUAUUGCAGAGAACUUAAAACGAGGUGCCUUUUGAAACUUAGUAAUUAAUAAUUUCUUUAUAUAGAUUUGCAAUUUUAAACAAUAAAUUUAUUAGUUUGUCCUCACCCCUAGUAAGCUCUCUUGUUUAUUUCAAGAUGUAUCAAUGCAAUCUUCUUGUUUCUUUAUGGUGGCGGUGGUGAUUCUUUUUUCUUUUUGUGGGGGGUAUAUUUUAAUUACGGUGUUCUUCAUGUUGGAGCCUUUUUACUUCCGUACUUAAUAAUAUAUGUGCGCGUGCUACAUUAGCUGAUUUAGACAAAGGAAAUAAAGAGGCAGUGGGCAGAUUGAGAAGGAACUCUCGGUGGAAUGCCCAUCCUGCCAAAUCAACAUAUAGCAAAAUUAAGAUGGUUGGCAAUGAAAUCAAUGAUCUGAUACCUACAGCAAAUGAAAGCAGGCAAAGGAGGGGAAGGACAUCUAGUAGUGUUUCUUCUGCAGACAAGGUGACUCAUAUUUUUCUAAUUAAUUUUAUUUGUUUUCACAAUUUACUAUGCGCUGUGUCUUUGAGGCGUGGAUGUCUGAUUAGUUAUGAUAUAUGGAGUGCAAAGUCUAUAGGUUAUGGCAGUGUGAAGUGUUCUACUACCUGUUUAAUUUGCUUCUUCCAUAGUUCUUUAACAUUUGUUUCUAUCUUUGUCUGGCAAGAUCAAUUUGAAACCUUCCAUACAUUACAAAUGAUAUUGAUAUAUACUAUUGUUCGUUUAUGCCCUUAAUUCUGAACUCAAAUAUGCAGGUUAGGGGUCUGGAUUCAGGUGUUGCAGUGCCAUUAACCAGCAUGGCUGGCCAUGCAGUGGAUGAGGAAGUUGACAUUGACUUGGAAAUCAACCAUGAAGAGAAAGAACCGAGGGAAAAUUCUAUGGAGGCUGCAUCUGGCAGCCUGCCUUUCCUUCCCCCUCCACCACCACCUCCAAUUCGUGAAUUCAGUCAUUCAAAGGUUAGCAACUUCUCAAAAUUUCACCAACUUUUCGUCAGUUCUCUUGUAAAUACUUUAGGAAAAAAGUGUACCUGUCAUUUUUCUCGUUCAAUCUAUAGAUAUAACUGAAACUUUUUUUUGCACAUCCCAGAUCAAAUCCAAGUUCUAUCUUGAACAUGAAAAAGUUUGAACCAAACCAAUAUUGAAAGCCACGAGUCAUGUUGAAUAUGUUAUAAUGUCUCUUUCAUCAAUCUUUUAACACCUAUUGUUUAUAUCAUCUAACAUGAGAUUUGGAUUGCAGUAUGAAGGUGAAGAUCAAAAUGUAGAUGUGGAGGUGGUCGAUGAAGAAAAGGAAUACAUGGACGAAGCUUAACAUUGGGUGAUGCUGCUGUAGAGGUUAGAACAACUCUUAGUAUAGUGAAAGUAUUGGUUUACUUAGAGAGUUUCGCAGAAUGAGGUUCUUGUUAAACACAAUUCUACUUUCCAGUUUUAUUAGAAAUCAGAUAUCGGCAAACCUUCCCUCGUUCUAUUUCUUCUUGGCAGAUUUUGAUUGCUAUCUUUCGAAUUAUUUUGGCGAAGCAACACAUUGUGCACUGAUUUACUUGUUGUUCGUCAGUGAAGGCUACAUAUAUGAUUUACAGGUUCAAAGUUUCGAGCAUCCAAAAUGGAUCUACUCAACACAAAAAUGAAGACUUUUAUUUGAAGAAAAGUUUUAAUUUAUAAAUAUACCAACCAAUUUUUGAAAAUAAUAAAUAAAAUUUUACAAUUUAUUGGCACAAAUUUAGAAAAUACCUCUAGGGAAUGUUUGGCUCAUGGAUUUGGAAUUAGGGGUUCAAAUGGACAAUUAAAUAAAAUUUUGGAAUUAUGAAACCAAACCCAUGGGUGAUAACGUUGCUAUCUUUAUAAGAUUAAUUUUGGCCUAGGUACAUAUUCCUUCCAUCGAAAAAACUAUUAUUUUGGUCGUAGAUAAAAUCAAGGCUCAAAAUAAUAAUAAAAAAUGUUUUUCGCAUUUAAGACAAUUUUGUUCUCAAACUUAAAUGAAGUCACAUUAUACAAGACUAUGUUAGAAUCUCUACAUUAAGCUAGCUUUUUUGAAAACAAUUCUUUUUCAAAUUAGUUUUCUAAAGAGAAUUAAAGUUAUUUCUUCUCUAUCAAUUCCAUUCGUAUUCUCACGUUUCUACUUCAAGAAACAAAUAUGUUAUUUAGGAGCUUUAGUCUUAAGCUUCAUUUUCAUAAAAUGGAAGGUUUUGAUUUUCUUACUUGAUAACUGCAUUUCCACACAUGAGUUUACAGCCAAAUUUUUUAUCAUUUAAUCAGAGGCGUGGAGUCUCAUGUGACGACUUGAGCAGAACCAAUUUUAAUAAACAUAUUAAUUAUAAAUCAUAAUAAUUAAAUUGGGUGUUGUAUCACAUCAAUUAAUUGUUGGAAAAAUAUAUUGGUUGAGGUUUAGGUUAAAAAACUAAAAAGCUUAACUAAAAUAAGAAAUAAUACCAAUUUUAAAUUUUAACUAUUUCUAAAGUAUUUUUUUUAAAAAAAUAAAUGGAUAAAAACUGCUCACAACGUACUCGUUUGGAUUCAAAUACAAUUAAUAACUAUAUAUCAUUUUACAAAUAAAACAACACAAAUAAAGAAUUGAAUGAAGAAACAAAAUAAGGAAAAUACUUGAACAAAAACUAUGCAGUCUUAGACAUUUAAAUCAGCAAUUCAUUACAGCUUUUUUGUAUUUAAAUGACAAAAAUACAAACCAAAUAGUAAUGAAAUUAAUUAUGAUGUAUAUUCUAUAUAAGGAUAAUUUGGUGGGCUAUUUUAAAGAACAUCAUAUCUAUUACUUUAGAUAAAAAAAAAAUAAUAAAUGAAAGUAUUGCUUUUUUAUUAAGUUAAAUUUCUGCAUAAACUUAAUUCUUGCAAAGAAUUUUCGAUGUAAAACCAACCAUGUAAGCUCAUGUGUUGGAAUACAGUUAGCCUUCGAUUUUAUGAAAAUAAAGCUUAAGACUAAAACUCCUGAACAAAUCAUACGAAUAGAAUUGAUAGAGAGAUAGAAGAAAUAACUCUAAUUCUUUUUAGAACACUAAUUUUAAAGAGAGUUCGUUUUUCAAAGAGUUUGCUUAAUUUAUUUCAUAGAUUCUAUGAGUGGGUUCAAGUCUUCGAUAAUGUGACUUCAUUUAAGUUUUAGUUGUCUCAAAUGCAGGACAAAUCAUUUUAUCGCAUAUCUAUGUUCGGGACAAAUAAUUUGUUCUCUUAUACGAACACUUCAUUUAAUUCGCUAAUCUGAGCCUUUAACCCAAAAUUCUUGUAUCCUAAUUCAUCUUACUUCCUCACAACAUACAUAGACAUAAACAUUCUAAUAAUAUGAAAAUCUGGUAUAAAUUUUAGCCAUAUAUUUAGGAGAUGGUGAUGCAAUUUUAUGUCAACAUAAACAAAUGGUUCAUUAUUUGAAUCUAAGAUACAUCAUAGAUAAACUAACCUAUUGAAUUUAAGAUCUAUAUUUUAUAAAUAUUUUAAUUUAAUUUUGUUAUAUUCUUUUGAAAGAAAAAUGGUCAAAAAGAUAACAUUUACAAAAUAUUUAUAUUUAUAAUUUAUAGAAAAAUCAAAUGUAGUAAUUUUUUUUUUGUCAAUUUUUAAGAAAAAUCCCUAUUUGAAAAAAGCUUUUAAAAUCAGAAAUAUGAUUUUAUUGAUGAGAGUUGUGAGAGCUCAAAAGAGUAUUUUGAAGAAAUGUCUAUGCGGCCUAUCCCCUUUCCCCUUUCCCCUUUCCCGAUUGUCGCUUACAUUCUACAAAGAAAUAAAUAAAUAAACCUACAGUGAAAUGUUCUCCAAUGUACUUAUUACAACCCAGAAUUAAGAAGGAAAAAUGAAGUGGAGAAACGCACGAGAAAGGGUAAUGGGUCAUUCCUAGGGAUGGGGACAUUGGGGAGGAGAACUCAUCUUUGUUGAUAUCAUUCAUCCAAUUUGCUAUUCAUAAAGCUAUUGAACAAAACCCAGCAUUUAUUUUUUCCUGAAAGCUGAAACCGAGUAAUCAUUUGAAGGAAUAAUAAUAAUAAUAAUAAUGCACAUAAAAUCUAAGAAGAAGAAGACAGAAAUUCUACAUGUACACUUUCUGGCGGUCUCUGUCUGUCAUGUGCAUUGAAAGAAGUGCUCCAGUGAUGCCGACGUGAAAACAUUAGAGGCCAUCCUCUCGGGCUUCACUUCAGAUACGUGAAGCUGACACUUGAUGAAUCUCUGUGGCAUUUUAAAUCAAACAAACUUCGCAGAUUCGUUUUGAAAAAUAUGUAAGAUUUCAAUGUAGCACAUGGUUUUUAAAAGUUAUGCUAGUUUCCUAUAAGGUAAUGUUUGAAUUCUUAGUUAAAUUCUAAAAAUAAAAACAAGUUCCAGGUAGAUUGUAGAUAACAUAACAAAGUCUACAAGUGCCUAUAGCUAAAAGUAGAGUGUUCAUAAGCUUGAUUUUUAAGUUUAAUUUUUAAAGAUUAGUAAGUGGACCUUGGUGUGUGAUCACCCUCAAUAAACUUGGAUUACUAAAUUAUAUGGAAACAAACCGCUAAUUGAGAUAUGAUUUCAGGAUCUGAGUCGAUAUGCCAAUCAGGUUCCAGUUGCCGAACAAAAGACGUCCUCCCAUUUUCUGUACUACAGAAGAGAACCUAAACAAAGAAGUACAAAAUUCAACCAUGUAAACAUAGUUCAGCUAGCUUCUCACAGGAGGUCUUAAUGGGGAGGGAUGCCAAAAGCAUUAAGAAAUUUAGUAAGAAAAAGAAAUAAUAGACAAAAGGAUAUUAAACGCCCAACACACUGCAGCAACCAAGAAACAAGCAAAUAAAAUAUAACGUAAAACACUAGGAUCAAUUUAUCAACCUCAUAAGGAUAAGGAAACUAUGAACAAUAAGCAGUCGAAACUUAUGAAAUAAAUAAAGUUGAUAGGGCCAACCUUUUCCUUGAUCAAGCCACCUGAUGCGAAAACACCAGCAUCUUCUAGAGCCACAAUAACCUUUCUCUGCACAAAAUAUUUUUUCAGUAUUAAAACUAAUAAAAUGAUGGUAUAUGAAGAUACUGCAAAAGGAAAUGCCUUCGAACCAUGGAGUUUUAGGGAACAAGGUAGAUUGUAGCUCCCAGAUCAUAAACUGAGUACCAAAAAGCAUAAAGCUGUUGUAUAGAGUUAGAUUUUUAAUCCUCAAACCAUCCUUAUUAUUAUUAUUAUUAUUUUCUUUUUGUUUCAAGUUUGAGCGUAUUUUGACUGCAUACCACCAGGAGAGAGAGCACAAAUCUUCUAUGCCAACCAUUUAAAGUGAGCAUUUUGCAGACUUCACUUAAGUUUGGAAAGUUCAUCCUGAUAAAUUAGUCUCACCUCGCUUUCCUCAUCAAGAACUCUUUCCAUCAAAUAGAGAUCACAAUAAUUUGUGAUCUCUAAAAGCACAUCCACGACAGAGGACCUUACAGUUGCUUGAUUCUGUCAAUAGCAUUACCAAACAUCAACACAAAACGAUAAUUCUUUCUCAAAGACAAUUUCACUCCAAAACACAUAGAUAGGAAAAAUACCACAGCCUGCAGCUCUUCUGGACUUUUUUCCUCCAAAAUUAUUCCAAGCAGACGACAAGUUACCUAAAAUAACAAGAAUUGGAAUCAGAACUUAUCAUUACAAUUUGUAAACUGUAACAUACUUCUACAAGAUGAAAGGUCGACUUCACUGCGUAAGCUUUUGGGCACGUAGUAUGAUAAACAUUAACUUGAAAGGUUAAUCUUACGUGUGAUGAAUGGUCAAUGAGAUUAGACUUUAAAGGCUAUCCAUUUCUAAUCAAAUAACUCAUAUCUAGCUUUCACCAUAUGAAGGAUCAUCGGACAUGUUUUCAUUACCUUUCUUCCACCACCAAGCUUUUGUCUAACAAUUUGCUCCAAAGUUGGCUGAAAAACACCACACUCAUUAUAAACUAUGUAAUGAAUACUAAUAAAUUGUAAAAAUACACAUUUUUAGUCUAUGAAAAAGUUUUCACUCAGCUCUUAAGCUUGAAAAGGCAACAUAACCCUUGAGGUAUGAAAUCUGGUCCAAGUUGGUCUUUGAAAUGCAUAUUACAUCAAUGAUGCUAAUAGGAUCUAGUUAAAUGAUAUCGUAUCAAUGCUUAACUGACGUGUCAAGCAUAAUAAUUAAUAAUUAUAUAUACAUUGCAUGUUUGUUCUUCUUUCACAUAUCAAAUAAAUAAAAUUAAUACAACUUGUGACAUUAUCAAAAUUCAUUAGACAUGUAAAGCACAAUAUCAAUUAAUUUGCUCAAUAAAAUUUUUGCUAGUACCAGUAAGGGAAUAAUUAUUCUAGGAACCAAACUUCAGGAGUUAUAAUGUGAGAAACUUAAGGAUGAAAGUGAAAACUUUUUCAAACUACAAAUACAAAAGAUGUAUUUUUCCUAAACCACAACUGACCUUCUGUGCACCUGCGUCAUCUGAAGGAGAAAAAACUGCAGAAGUAAUCAAUUGUGAAUUUGAACUUGUGCUGAUGUCAGAGUUGCCUGCUGAAGAAGUUUGCCUUUUUGGUUGUCUUCUGCGAUGUCCACUAGGUGGUCUUAACAGUUUCCAUGAGAAUAUGACAGCAAGAGCCAAACCCGCAAUAGCACUAAGAGAUCGGAAAUUCUGCAACAAAUUAGAACAUGAAGCAUCAAAUUGUGAUCUUAGUUGAACAUCUGUUACACCUGCCACUGUCCAAAGAAAACAGACAACUCCAUCAAAAACAGGUAUUUCCAACAAAAAUUAGUACUUUGCAGCACCUGUGUUUUACUAAUGACACACACUGUGAUAGGAAUGCUAUGAGUAAAUAAUUAAAGUAUUAAGAGCAUAUUAGCAACUCAUUAAUGAGCCUGUUAGGGAAGUUUGAUUAUAAAUAGAGGUUAAGGGAAUGAGGAAGGUAAGCUAUAUUUUGAAGUAUGAACUACGACGUGAGAGCAUCUCAAGUUUGGGCGGGUCCAAGUACCUCGGACACUUGGUUUAUCAUGUAAUUCAAUAUCAUUUUAUAUUUAAUAUAUUCAGGUUCUAUUGUUUCUUUCCAGCAACCAUGUCACAAAAGUGCAUGCAACAACAAAAACAGGAGCUAAAAAACAAAAAAGUUUGUACUCGUAUUUCUAUCCUUAAAAAGUGUACAACAACCCAUCAAUAACUGUCGGAUUAUGCCCACUUUGGAUUCCUCAGGAUCUUGUCAACCUCAUUAGUUGAACUACUAGGAGCUCUGAAGACCGGAAAGUUGAAAUAUUUGCAAGGACAACUUAAACUAGAGUAAGUCUUCCUCCUUUAGAUAUGCUAGUUGGGGAUUCCUUUAGAUAUGCCUACUUUGAGGAUCGAUUCCCAUGGAAAGUUCCAAUUACCAAAGGGGCUACUAAGCUGAAGUGAAAGAGAAGUUAUUAGCCCACCACCACUAAUCUACAAACAUUUUUUUUAUAUAACAGCAUUCAUUGAAAAAAAAAAUUAAAGAAUACAAGAGCAUACAAAAACAAAGCCCACAAUAACAAAUUCCACUAAUGAAAGGGUUUCCAACUAACUAAGAUAUUGUCUAGCAAAUAAUAACAAAAGAUCUUCGAAAUCGAAGCCCAAAUAGAAACAUAGAACCUCGACAAGGACUAAAACUCACAAGGGUUCUUAUCCACACCUCAAAAUACUCCAUUGUUCCUCUCCCCCCAAAUAUCCCACAACAAAGCACACACCCCCAUGAAACACAAAAAACGACCUUUUUCUUUGAAAGGUGGAUGAAGGCAGAACUCCCCCAUCAUCAAACAAAUGUCCCUUUGGCGAGCAAUCACAAGCUCAAACUCCUAAGAUAACAAUUCUACACCAGUCCCGCAAACUUCCACUCCAAAGAAGGUGGUCAAAGUUUUCCUCAGCCUUCCGACAAACGAUACAACAAAAAUGAUCCAUUAACAAAGGCAUAUUUCUCGAGGUUCCAUUGUGUUCACACGGCUGAGAGAACUUGCCAAUGUCAAGGAAAACUUGACUUUCUCCAGACAUUGAUCCUCACCACUGUAUUGCAGAUUUAUGCAUCAAACCUUUUUUUUUCUUCUAGAAAAAAAAUCCUUUCAAGGACUACCAAAUAAGUGGUCAAUUUUUUAUUUGCCAAAGGGAGCAAGAGGAUUGUAAUUUGCAAACUGAGAUGAUCAACUUUGUUUCCAUGGCUCCUGGAAAAAACCUACUCAAGUCAAAAAAGGUACAGUAAUAAAGGAUCUCUUGGUCUCAAUUCAACUCUCUCAAGUGUUUAACUUCCCUCUUGAUCUCUCAUAAAAUAUAAGCUAUGAAGAUUGUAUGCAAAAGGAAUCCUCUGUUGCACAUUCCUGAAUUUGAGUCAAAGCCUUUUCCUUGAGAUUGGUAAUCACAAAUUCUGAUCACCAAACAGUACAGUUUCUCAUGGUUAAGUUUAUAGACCCCCCUUCUGCUUUUUUACUCCUCACUCAUCUUUGAGUGUGUUGAUAACAAGGAUGGGAUCCUAAACUUUUCCUUCUCCCACAAACACAACUUGACAUUUAAUAGUGAUUGAGGAAAAUUUGGCUACAAUCCCUCUUCCAACACUUUUUCCACCCCCUUCUAUUGAUGUUGUUAGAAUUAGCAGGCUUGUUGUAUGUUGAAAGCCCAAAGGUUUUCAGUCUUUUAUGUUUCCCUAAUGGUCUUUCAUUCUUUUAAUUAGGUUUGUAUUGCCUAUAAAUUAAUGCUCUCAUGUAUCAUUAGUUUUAUUAAGAAAGAUUUACACCGUAGUUUUUCUCCCAGAACUAGGGUUUCCACAUAAAACUUGUGUUUGUUCUUUGUCUCUACAUUCAAUAGAUGCUAUAUGUGAUAUUACCAUCCUGAAAUAGUCCUGUAACAUAGUCAUUACUCAUUGGAUGAUCUUGUUCCAAGACUUAUUAAAGGCAACGUGGACCAGGAUUGAAGACUACGAUCUACGAAUGAAAUUUCUUCAUUGAAUUUCAGUAAAACUUUGAAAUUGACACUUUGACAAGUGAGAUAGGAUCCUAGGUUAGAUGCCUGGGAAAGAAAUUUUUACCAUUUUUCUGUAGUCCACAACCUUUGAACAAAGAAGUAAAAAAAUUCAAGUUCUACUGUUGGUCACAAAUCGACUUCUCACAUCACUGGUCAGCACCUCCAAACAUCUACCUACAAUAAAGCUAUUUAUCCUGCUGGCCAUAAAAUUCUAUAGAAAAUGCUAGAGUUUCGAUCUCCCUCCUGAAGGGAUUUUGGUGUCACCUCUGAAGCCAUAAAACUUCCUUGCAUUGAAUCUAUGUUUUCAUUCAAAAUGCCCCUUUUGUCCGGCAACUCCAGGAUAAGGGAUUUUUUCUAUAAGCUCUUUAUUUAAAUAUUUGUCAUCAUUAUUAAUAUUAGUAGUAGUAUUAUUUUAGAUAUCAUUGCACCUUGACUAACAGCAAACAAAUAUGAAACACAAUGAUUAUAGCUAAAAUCAAACCACCAACUAGCAUCUGAGGUUACUGCUCACAAACAAUAAAAUCUUUUUAAGAAUUAGUAAAGUUACAGCUCUCGAUUCUGGCCAAUUUCAAACAAUCAUCAGACAUCAGUCAUAAUUUACCAGAGUGAUGGCAAGAACAUCACAACUUGGGAAAGACAACAAUCUUACUAAAAAGUCUACAGCAUUAACAAAUCAAUUAAGAGAGCCGGAUAGCUUUAUAUAUCAAUCAAGCGAAAUUAUGGGGCUGAGCAUUUAACACAAAUUCCAGACCCGUCACUACAAAAUCUAGAACGAGAAGCAGAAUUUGAAAACAGAAUUUCCAAAAAUGAACUGCAAAACGCAACGAAAUGAAUAGAGACGAAAGGAAUGGAAAACAAACCCGAGUUUGAAACAAUAUCGAGAAUAAAGUGGAGAGUUUAACACUUAGAUUACUCCCGAGCCUCUUGAUUAGCCGGACGAGCUCCUCUUUUGAAGAAAAUUCCGCCAUUAGAGAACCCUAAGACCCUGUGAUAUCGAAGAAUCCACGUCCGCCGCGGGGGUUGCUCAGUGGAUUACUAUUACGGCGGGAAGAGAAUACAUUUCCAUUCUGGUCUCCUCCAACCAUGAGAGCUUUCAAAGGAUUUUUUAAUAUUAUUAUUUUGAAAAGGAUUUUUUUAGUUUCAAAUAAGAGUUUCUGAAAAAUAAAAAAAUUGGCUAACUAUUUCGUCUAACAAAAUUCAUUAUUUUUCCAUCCAAUGUAAAUAUUUUAUUCUUAUUCAGUGUGUUUUUUUCAUCUUUUUUAAAUGAAAUAAGUUUUCUACUCUAUUGCUAAAUAUAUAGUUCAAUUGAUAUAAUGUUUAAGUUUUAAAAUUAAGUUGUUUGACUCAUCUAUCUUGUAUACAUACAUAGUUAAAAUAGUAAAUAAAUAUCACCUUUGAUAAAUUUUAACCUUGAAUAAUGAAAAGUUUUACAUUGAUUAAUUGUAAGUAAUAUUUACUCUACUUUUUAUACCAAGUCAAAUUUUACUCUUUAUUUUAUUAAAAGAAAUAACUUUUUUGGAACAAUCUUAAAGUUAGAAGAGCAAAAUUAGAAUUUUCCUGAGGUUCAGCCAAUUAACUAAAACUUAAUUCAAAAUUUUAAUUAAGGAUACUUAUGUAUAAUCUAACCAUUAUUAUUGUUAUAUUAUUAAAAAAUUUCAUGAUUUUUUUUCUCUAUUAAUGGAGCAAAAUCGACCUGAAAAUUACAAUGAAUUAUAAUACUAUGUUUUCUUAAUUUAUCAUUGAUUUACAUCCAAGAAGUCAGAUAGUAAAAUCCUUUAUUAUUUUCUUGUAAAAAGGUAUACAUAAGGAUUAGCCCAUAAACAGUUAAAAAAAUUUAAACCCAAAAGGAAUUUUAGAUCUAAAAAUUUAAUUUUUUUUUUAUGUAAUUUCUAUUUUUAAUUAUAUAAACUUAAAAACUUAAAAUAUCAUAAUCAAUUAGCUAAACUCAAAUUGAGUGGUUAUUUAAAAAUGGACGGUAUAUCUAACAGUCUUAACACUUUGCGUGUUUUUAGAAUAAGGUUAAAAUUAGAGCCUGUUUUUAAAUAUUAGAUUUAGAUCAGCUUAAUCAGUAAUGUAAUCUUAAUUAUAUAUAGAAAGUGUUAACUACUAAUGGAAUAAUAAUCCAAAUGGGAUAUGGUUGUGGGAAGUUGUUCUUUGUUCCCACUUUUUCCAAUCAAGUUAGGUCUUGUAUUCUUCGCUUUUUCUUCAACAAGUUUUCAUCAGCCUAACCCUAUCUUCUUCAUCUCCCCAAAAUUCUUCUUUCUUCUUUUGCAAGGUGCAACAUUUGGAGGUUAAAUAUUAAAUCUCUCUAACUUAGCGAUACAAUAAUUAAAUUUACCUUCAACUAUUAGUUUAGUUUAAGUUUUUUUUCAUGAAUUGACGGUUUAAUAUAGUAUCAGAGAGGUCCUUGCAUUGUCGUUUCCUUUCCAAUUAAAAUUGAUUUUCACUUGUUGGACAUUUCUACAAUAAUUAAAUUUGUCUUUAACCACUAGCUUAAGCUUUUAGAUGAAUUGGUUGUUUAAUAGUUUACACCUAUAUUAGUUUAAGUUUUUGGAUAGACUGAUGGUUUAAAAUGGUAUUAGAGAAUCCCAGAAUUCUUUGAGAUUAUUUUCUUAGCCUCGUGUUUAAGUACUUAUCAUGUUAUUUCCUCCUCAAUUAAUAUUAAUUUUCACUUAUUAAGUCUUUCUUGAUAAGUGUUAGAUAUUAAAUUUGUUUUCACCUAUCAACUUAGUGAUUUAAGGUAUGUAGUCAAAGUUUGGCCAAGUUAGAUAAAAUUAGUGUCGAUCUUUGUUACGGUAGGUAGAAAUUAAAAUUAAUUAACAAUAUUGACAUUCAAACCACUCUUAUUUUCUUUUGGUUCACACAUUCCUACAACUCAUACCUUCUCCUACCUAAGUCACUAACCACACUUCUUAUUCUCACCCACCUAAUAGCAUUAACAUUAUUUACUUGUGUAUUAGGCAUGUGAUACGUUGAAUCACUUGUUACAGUUCCUGACUUUCUUUAUCAUAAGAAAAGUUUGUUGAUUUUUAUAAAAAAAAUUACAUUCUUUUGCAAAUUUGCAAUUUGAAUUUUAUACCAUAAUUUUAAAAUAUGCGAUGUUGAAAAACUACAAAAUAACGUAUUUUUUGUAUUAUGUAUGACUCCCACUCGUCUAUGUACAUCCUAUGCACUUCAAACGUGUCAAAGAGUUCAUACAUUGACAUAGGAACACUCAUUUGAAUUUUGAUUGACUCAAAAUCUAACGAGUCUUGAUUAUCUGUCAUUCAUAUGUGUUAAUUUAACUUUAGAGAUGUUUUCAAACUCUUCAAUAAACCUUAUUUUGAAUUUCCAUCAUGCACUAUCUAGCUUCUACUAAGCAUGUCCCUAACACUUCCCUCUCAACCUCUACUUUAACUUGUUGAUUGACAUGACAUAGACAUGCUUUUCAACGUAUGUUUCUUUCAUGUUUCCUCCCAGAAAUCAAUCAGUGAAGGAAAACGAAGGCCUUGGGCCUUGGCUAGAAGCAGUUAUCUACCCUAGGCUUAGCUUUUCUUCUGCUACUUCUCGUGCAACCACUUAUUUUACCGAUCUCACAACCUCUCUUUCUAAUAGCAUGGACAAUCUCGCAGCUUUAAUUUGCACCUUUCCACUCUGUAUUAUGAAUCCCCCUCUUAUCUUUCUCUCUCUCCCUCCUUGGUCUCGCCCUUUUUCUCUCUUCGGCGAGGAGUAGUCUUAACCCAUUAUCAAAUGAAUUAGCAUGUGUGCAUAAGAUAGUGUUCUAAUGCUACCUAUAAUUAAGUAUCAUAGUUAUAUGUUGUUGAAUAAAGGAUAUAUUGGAUAAGUGCAUGAAUGUGUUAAAAUAUUACAAUUGAUCUAGAGAUUAUUGAGCUAGAUCAAACAUAAAUUUAAUCAAAUAUGAACUAGUUAAAAAGUAAUUAUCUUCGCACUGACACAUGUUGCCAAAGAAAAUACAAAGUCCAAAGUGCUAUCUGCCCAAAUGUGUUGAAUAGUUUCAAAUAUAACCACACCCAACUAAAAAAGUCUGGAAAAAUUAACUUAGUUGAUCACAUCCAUCAAAUUAAACCGGUGAACCUAAUGUGUUCAAACUUCAAAGAAAUUAAAUUCUUGUGUAUGAUAUGUUGAUGAGUAGGUAUAACACCUUGAUGAGUAGGUACAACAAGUCAAAGUGUCAAGCCGAUUUGGGUCGGUGUAACAUGUGUCUUAUCCUGUUCCAUUUAAAGUUGACAACAUCAUUUUAUUGUUAGGUUAUACAGGGUAACUAAAUACUCUCUCAAUUAUUCCUUGUUUUAUUACAUUGUUAUCUUUUAAAAAUAAUAAAGGAUAUAUAACAGUAUUUAAGAAUAUUUGUGAAGCAGAAUCACGAUGGAAAUUAAUUUAAAAAGAGAUGUAUUUAUUAAAAGAAUCUCAAUUGUGUAAUACACUGUCUAAGCUUAAAAAAAUAGAUUGAGUGUAUCCAAGACCAACUGAAAAGAUAUCUAAUUAAGUUUCGUACAACACCAAAAAGAUCUUGAAACUCAGAUUAAAGAAAAGACCUUCACUUUAAUAAUUGACCACUCACAUAAGCUCCACCACUAGAAUUAGAAAAUAGGAGGAGAAAAAAAUUAAAUAUUCACAAAUUUCAUAAUGGUGUCUAAUCUUCUUCUUCUUUUUUUUUUCCUUUUAAACUUUAAAUUCACCCAUUAUAUAUCAAUUGAGUUAUGGUAUGAGUUAGUUAUUAAAUGUAAAAGAAUGUUCUUGGUUGGUAUACCUAUGAGUGUUUAAAUUUUGAUUUGAUAAGAACAAAAUAUUAGAAAAGGGGUGGCAGGAGCAGGGGGACAUGAUCUCCUAAAAUCAGAGAUUUUUCACUUUAAUUAUAAGUUUAUAACAUGGAAGAAAAAUAAUGAUAAUGAUAAUAAUAAACAAGGCCAAAUUAAAGAAGGAAAUUACAGAAAGAGACAAGGAGUUUUCAAAACUUGGGAGCAAUUCUGAACAAAACUAUCUGAAUCACAGUGGUAAUUAAGGAAAUUCCUCUCCCUACUCACAAGACUUGGAGGAAGCACAACCUCCAUGGAAGCUCCCAAUAGAUACCGUUGCGUGUGGCUCUGGCAGGUGUUGCAAAGCAAGCACCGGACGUGCCGCAGGGCCAAGAAAUUCGCGCUGUGAACCGAUUUGUCGCACUUCCCGCACAAAUACGCCUCGUCGGCUUCGCAAUACAGCGACGCCCUGGAACCGCAUAGCUCACACCGUACAGGAUCGCCACCGCCGGCUGCCCCGUCAUCGGUGGUCCGACGUUGCCGGACGGCGACUUGGGUCGUUUCUUCCUGUUCUACACCUUUGCACAUGAUUGUUUAAUUUGUUGGAAAUGGAAGCUUGAUUGUCAAGGAAAUGGGGAUUUUGAGGGUGUUGAUUUAUAUAUAGAAGGUUGGUAAAUAGGACAAGAAGGAAAAGCAAGUUUCAUUAUUUAUAAUCAAUCAUACCCUUUAUGUUAUUUUUUUAUUUAGAUAUAAAAUAAAACAUUAUAAAAUUUUACAAUUCAA